rnacentral:lncRNA from 1 species
GUGGCGAUUAUACUGCAAUGAUGAUGUCGAUGAUCCGUUUCAUGAUGAUUAUGAUGACGGAUGCAUUUAGUUUUAGUUAUAUUGUAGGGAUGACGUUCCUGUCGAAUGUUGUUCCUCAGUUAAGAUGGAUAUUUUCAGUUUAAGUUUCGCUGUCAAGAAAAUUGUUAGAUUAUGCAUCACAUUUGGAUGAUGUUCCUCCUGUAAUAUCCACUAUUGUAAUCCAACAGUUUUGAUCUAAUAUAUGAUUUCUUCCUCUCGUGAGUAUAUUGUCUUGUUUUUCGUUCACUUGAAAUAUAUAAUUAUCGCCUUUACAUGGAGCAUUAAUUUAACUGCUAGGAAUAUAUAUACAUAUAAUAUUAUUAUUCACACUAUAUAUGUACCAACACUUGAAACGUUGGAAAUUCUUUGUUGCCAAGCCAUGGGAUUUUGAUUCAUGUACAUCAAGCACCAACAUAUAAAACUGUUGUAAAAGUCUGUUUUAUCUGUUGUUCUCUUGCAACGGACCCUUUUACCAACAAUAGUAUAAGCGUUGCACUAUGCGCUAGCAACACUGGAUAAGGCUACGCAUCCCAAACCGUUGGUAAGGACCCUAGCAACGCAUAUAUGGACAUUUAGACACGGAAAAAGGCAUUGCUAUAGUGGGGGUCCUGUUGUAGUGGCGAUUUGUUGAAAUGACUGGACCUAUCUUUUUGCGUAUGCGUUUGAUUGGUAUGCUUAAAAUGAACCCUUAUGCUAAGUACAUGAAGGAUAUUGUUACUGAUAAAAGAAAGAUACCGGAAGCUGAAAUUUCCACCAUGCUUGCUAAUUACACUUUUAAGGGUGGAAUACCAAAGAAACUUGGAGAUCCAGGAGUACCAACUAUACCAUGCUCCAUUAAAAGAAACUAUGUUAGAACUGCUUUAUGUGAUCUUGGAGCCGGUGUUAGUGUUAUGCCUCUCUCUUUAUACUGUAGACUUGAUUUGAAUAAGUUGACACCUAUGGAAAUAUCUUUGCAAAUGUCCAAUAAAUCAACUGCUAUACAUGUCGGUAUUUGUGAGGAUGUGCCUGUUGUGGUUGCAAACGUUACUAUUUUAACAGACUUUGUUAUUCUUGAUAUUCCCGAGGACGAUAGUAUGUCGAUUAUCCUUGGUAGACCCUUUUGGAAUACUGCAGGGGCUGUUAUUGAUUGCAACAAAGGCAAUGUCACUUUUCAUGUUAAUGGUAAUGAGCAUACGAUACACUUUCCAAGGAAACAACCUCAAGUCCACAGUAUCAAUUCUAUUGGAAAAAUUUCAAUAAUUACUAUUGGAGGUUUUGAAUUUCCUCUUCCUAUUGUCAAGAAGAAAUAUGAUAUUCUUGUUGGGGACAUGCAUAUCCCCGUUGAGGUAACCGUGUUAUUGAAAAAUUCUCCGGUUUCAUGUUAUUCGAAAUGAGUUUGUUAACAAGACCUGAUCAAUCUUGUUAGUGGAUUCCUUUUGAUGAGCAUGAGAUGGAUGAAGUUAGAAGGAACAACUCUCUGUACCCCCUUUUUACUUUCUGUUAUUUAUAUCAAAUAAAGCAAAAAUAGUAUUUUCUGUCUGUUUUCUUAAUUAUCCUUGCAAUAAAAAAAUACCCCGAAAAUAAAAGUUCUCCAAAUGCCCUGAAAAUGAAAUAUGAUUUUUUUCUAGAAUAUUUUAGGAUUUUAGGCACUGAGAACACAUCAGGGGGAGCAGCCACGUGCCCACACGGGUGGAGGGCGCGCCCACCCCCCUGUGCGCGCCCCUGCCUCGUGGACCCCAUGUGGGUCCCCUCCACCUAUCCGCACCCACACACUUUGUCUUGCUCCAGAAAAAAUCACUAGCCAGCUCAAACCCGAGUUCUUGCUCAUCUUGCUGCCAUUUUUGAUCUCCUUGCUCAAAGCUCCUCUCACAAAACUUCUUUGGGGGAUUGUUCUUUGGUAUGUGACUCCUUCAAUGGUCCAAUUAGUUUUUGUUCUAGUGCUUUAUUCAUUACAAAUUUUUGCUGCUUAGGUGACCCUGUUCUUGAGCUUGCAUGUCAAAUUUAUGUGGUCAAAAGUAGUUUUUAUGCAUGAUAUGGCCUCUAGGCGCUUGUAGGAGUAGUUGCUAUCAAUCUUGUUGAGUUUGGUUCACUUUUAUUUUAAGUUACUAAAAAAUUCAGAAAUUUUCAGAAAAAGAUGAAGAGAUUUUUGAGGGGCUCAUCGAGCCGAAGCUCGAUGGAUAAGCAAAGUGAAGAGAACAAGAAGCCCAAGUAUAAUCUCUCUCGUACUGCGGAGGUUCGGCCAUGUGAAUGGCCUUGUGAUGAGUUCUUGAGAGAAGCCGGGAUUAAUGAAGAUCUUUAUCAUUUGGCUGAGAAUGCAGGCCUCACCGCCUUCCUCCACGACCAGCAUGAACAUUAUCUCUUACUCACCAAUAUCUUUGUGCAAAAGUUUCAUUUCCAUGCUAGGAGAUCACCACCUUCGGUGGAAUUUUAUUUAUAUGAUGAGCAUAAGGAGAUGUCACUUUGUGAUUUUUGCCGGGUCCGUUUGAUACCCUUUGAGGGCAGCAUAGAGGAACCACAUCAUAAUGAUGUGGAGGGAUUUAUUGAUAUGAUUGCUGUAGGGGAAACAAGGAAAGUUUUUGAUGCGAGAAUCACUAGCAUACAUUUUCCUGUUCUACGUUACUUCGCAAUAUUUGCUAGUAGAUGCUUAAUUGGUCGCGGGAACUGUGGAAACCUUAGUGCUCCUGAUAUUGUUAUUUUGCGCCUUGCCUUGUUUCAUGAUACUAAUUUUCAGUUUAGGUGCUAUUGUGGCUAGAUGGUUAAAUCUGAACCGUACUAAGGGCCCCGUCUUCGGAUGCAUCUUUGCCUCGCGCCUUGCUGCACACUUUAACAUACCUAUCAGGCAUUAUGAGAAAGAGGAAAAGUUGCUUUCUCCUAUUGUUCUAGGUUAUAAGAGUAUGGUAGCACAUGAGUUUAUUGUUAAGGAUAAGAAUAAGAUACUCGAAUAUAAAUUUAUAUUUAACAAAAAUUAUUGUGAGUUUAUUACCUUGCCUGCGCCCUCUUUGUUCAGCAUAUUUUCAGGCAUGUACCUUGUUCUGCCAGAGGCCAUUCAUGCCUACCGGAGCCAGAUGUCAGCUGCAGAGUCGGAGCCACCAUCUGAUCCUCACCGUCAGUCUAUUUAUUAGUGGAAUCCGGAGGAGCUCGCCAGCCAGUGGCAAUCUGAGGACCCUUCUCAGUACGACCCCAGCUACAGAUUUGAUCCAUGGGCGUAGACCAACUUAGGCCAAAAGCCUAAGCUUGGGGGAGUACAUAUCUCUCACUGACAUUACAUUCAUGUUCAUACACUCAUGCCAAUUGUCGGUGCUCAUACUUUUUGAUUGUAUCAUCCAUGCUAGUUUAAUUUCUGUUUAAGCUUUCUUCUUGUGUGUUUGAAAACCCUUAAGAAAAACCAAAAAAAUUAGUUGUAGCUUUUAGCUAGUUUACUUUCCAUGCAUGUUCUAUUAGUAAUUAAAGAGAAAACCCAAAAAGAUUUCUCGUUCUUCAUUUGCUUGUUGGGAGCUUUCUUGUGUAAAUAAUUUUGUUUCUUUUAUUUUUCUUUGGGGGUCAAGAGGAGAAGACCAUAAUGAAAAUGUUGGGUGGCUCUCAUAUGCAUUAUUGUUGAUCUAACAAAGAACCAAUACUACCUUGCCUUCUCUCUUGAAUUGAAUGCUUGCAGAUUCCAGCUUAGUCCAAUGCACGUGCACUAUUAUUAUUAUCCACACUAUUUGGUUGUGCAAGUGAAAGGCAAUAAUGACGAUAUAUGAUGAAUUGAUUGAGAUGAGAAAAGCUGGUAUGAACUCAACCUCUCUUAUUUUUGUAUAUAUGAUUAGUUCAUCGUUCUUGAUUCAGCCUAUUAUGAAUGAAACAUGUUUGCAAUGACAACUAGAGAUUAUAGUUGCUUAUGCCAUGCUUAAUUAGCUAGGAGUUUAUAAUGGUUUACCUUGCGUGCCAACAUGCAAUUAAAAUGGUUGUGAUGUGGUAUGAUGGGGUGGUAUCCUCCUUUGAACGAUUCGAGUGGCUUGACUUGGCACAUGUUCACGCAUGUAGUUGAAACAAAAUUAACAUAGCCUCCACGAUAUUUAUGUUCAUGGUGAAUUAUAUCCUACUCAUGCUUGCAUUCGGUGUUAAUUAAUUUUAAUGCAUGUUCAUGACUAUUCUCGCUCUCUAGCUAGUCGCUUCCCAGUCACUUUCUAGCCUCACUUGUACUAAGAGGGAAUACUGAUUGUGCAUCCAACUCCAUAAACCCCAAAGUUUUUUUUGAAUAUAAACCCCAAAGUUAUUCCAUAUUAGUCCACCAUACCUUCCUAUAUACGGUAUCUACCUGCCGUUCCAAGUAAAUUUGUAUGUGCCAAACUCUAAACCUUCAAAUAAACAUCUGUUUUGUAUGCUCGAAUAGCUCAUGUAUCAACUAGGGUAGUCUAUAUCCUCCAUGCUAGGUGGGUUAUUCUCAAGAGGAGUGGACUCCGCUCCUCAUUCAUGAGAAAAUGGCUGGUCACCGGGAUGCCCAGUCCCAUGCUCAAAUCAAAUCAAAAUAAUUGCAAACAAAACUCCCCCAGGAUUGUUGUUAGUUGGAGGCACCCAUUGUUUCGGGCAAGCCAUGGAUUGAUGCUUGUUGGUGGUGGGGGAGUAUAAACUUUACCAUUCUGCUUGGGAACCACCUAUAAUGUGUGUAGCAUGGAAGAUAUCGAGAUCUCUCGGUUGUUAUGUUGACAAUUAAAGUAUACCGCUCAAAAUAUUAUUCACCUCUAUUUCAAAACCAAGCUCUAGCACAUCUACAAAUCUCUACUUCACUCUAUGAAGGGCUUAUCCAUUUACUUUUAUGUUGAGUCAUCAUCCUCUUGUUAAAAAGCACCGGUUGGAGAGCACCGCUGUCAUUUGCAUGUAUUAUUGUUAGUUUACAUUGAGUAUGACUUGACUGGAUCUCUUUUACCAUGAAUUACAAUGUCUAGUCAGUCCUUGAUCUUUAAAGGUGCUCUGCAUUUAUGUUUUGCGGUCUCAGAAAGGGCUAGCGAGAUACCAUCUUGUUAUAUCAUAUUAUGAUUGUUUUGAGAAAGUUUUGUCAUCCGAGAUUUAUUAUUAUUGCUCGCUAGUUGAUUAUGCCAUUGAUAUGAGUAAACAUGAGACUGUGAAUAUGGUUAGUUCAUAAUCUUUGCUGAAAACUUGAAUGCUGGCUUUACAUAUUUGCAACAACAAGAGCAAACAGAGUUUGUAAGAGUUUUUCUUUAUCACUUUCAGUUUAUCAACUGAAUUGCUUGAGGACAAGCAAAGGUUUAAGCUUGGGGGAGUUGAUACGUCUCCGUCGUAUCUACUUUUCCAAACACUUUUGCCCUUGUUUUGGACUCUAACUUGCAUGAUUUGAAUGGAACUAACCCGGACUGACGUUAUUUUCAGCAGAAUUGCCAUGGUGUUAUUUUUGUGCAGAAAUAAAAGUUCUUGGAAUGACCUGAAAAUCAACAGAGAUUAGUUUUGGAAUAUAUAAAAAAUACUGGCGAAAAGAUCCACAUCAGGGGACCCACACCCUAUCCAUGAGGGUGGGGCGCGCCCCCUGCCUCGUGGGCCCCCUGAUUCUCCACCGACGUCCAUCUUGACUUCCUAUAUUCACUUUCGGGGAGAAAAAAAUCAGAGAGAAGGAUUCAUCACGUUUUACAAUACGGAGCCGCCGCCAAGCCCUAAACUCUCUCGGGAGGGCUGAUCUGGAGUCCGUUCGGGGCUUUGGAGAGGGGAAUCCUCGCCAUCGUCAUCAUCAACCUUCCUCAUCACCACUUUCAUGAUGCUCACCGCCAUGCGUGAGUAAUUCUAUUGUAGGCUUGCUAGACUGUGAUGGGUUGGAUGAGAUUUAUCAUGUAAUCGAGUUAGUUUUGUAGGGUUUGAUCCCCCUAGUAUCCACUAUGUUCUGAGAUAGAUGUUGCUAUGACUUUGCUAUGCUUAAUGCUUGUUGAGGGAGUCCUGGAUUAGGGGGUGUUCGGGUAGCCGGACUAUACCUUCAGCCGGACUCCAGGACUAUGAAGAUACAAGAUUGAAGACUUCGUCCCGUGUCCGGAUGGGACUUUCCUUGGCGUGGAAGGCAAGCUUGGCGAUGCGGAUAUUCAAGAUCUCCUACCAUUGUAACCGACUAUGUGUAACCCUAACCCAAUCCGGUGUCUAUAUAAACCGGAGGGUUGUAGUCCGUAGGACAUCAACUCCAUAUACAACAACCAUACCAUAGGCUAGCUUCUAGGGUUUAGCCUCCUUGAUCUUGUGGUAGAUCUACUCUUGUACUACCCAUAUCAUCAAUAUUAAUCAAGUAGGAGUAGGGUAUUACCUCCAUCGAGAGGGCCCGAACCUGGGUAAAAACAUCGUGUCCCUUGUCUCCUGUUACCAUCCGGCCUUAACGCACAGUUCGGGACCCCCUACCCGAGAUCCGCCGGUUUUGACACCGACAUUGGUGCUUUCAUUGAGAGUUCCCCUGUGUCGUCGCCUUUAGGCCCGAUGGCUCCCUUGAUCAUCAACAACGAUGAGGUCCAGGGUGAGACUUUUCUCCCCGGACAGAUCUUCGUCUUCGGCGGCUUCGCACUGCGGGCCAAUUCUCUUGGCCACCUGGAGCAGAUCAAAAGCUACGCCCCUGGCCAUCAAGUCAGGUUUGGAAGCUUAAACUACAUGGCUGACAUCCGCGGAGACUUGAUCUUCGACGGGUUCAAGCCACGGCCAAGCGCGCCGCACUAUCUCGAGGGGCAUGAUCUAGCUCUGCCUCCGGACAGUGUCCUGGAGGCCGCACACGCACCGGUUCUGACCCCUAACUCGGAGCCUAUUGCGCCAAUCGAGGAUGAGCAGUUGGACGUCACCUUGGGGGCUGCGAUCUCAAAGGCGAUCAAGCCGAACGCCAGCCCUGCACUCUGCAUGACCCGUGACUCCGAGGAUCCGGACUCCUCCCCGGACUCCGAACCCCCCGUGCCCCUGCCAAUCGAAUCCGAUUGGGCGCCGAUAAUGGAGUUCACCGCCGGGGACAUCUUUCAGCACUCGCCUUUUGGCGACAUCCUGAAUUCUCUCAAGUCUUUCUCUUUAUCAGGAGAGCCCUGGCCAGAUUACGGUUAGCGAGGAUGGGAUAUGGACGAUGAAGAAGUUCAAAGCCCACCCACCACCCACUUUGUAGCCACUGUCGACGAUUUAAUCGACAUGCUUGACUUCGGCUCCGAAGACAUCAACGGUAUGGACGACGAUGUAGGAGACGAACAGGAACCAGCACCUGUAGGGCGCUGGAAGGCCACCUCGUCAUAUGACAUAUAUGUGGUGGAUACUCCAAAAGAUGGAGAUGAUGAUGGAACAGCGGGGGAUGACACCUCCAAGAAACAGCCAAAGCGUCGGCGUCAGCGGCGCCGCUCUAAAUCCCGCCAAAGCAAAAACGGUGAUUCCGGCACGGGAGAUAAUACUACCCCGGAUAGCGCCAAAGAACACCCACCCCAGCAAGAUUCGGCACAGGAAGAUGGAGAAGCCAGCCCUCAUGAGAGAGCGGCAGACCGAGAGGUCGAGGAUGAUAACUAUAUGCCUCCCUCCGAAGACGAGGCAAGCCUCGAUGACGACGAAUUCGUCGUACCAUCAGACCCCGCCGAACAAGAGCGUUUCAAACGCAGGCUUUUAGCCACGGCAAGCAGCCUCGAGAAAAAGCAGCAACAGCUUAGAGCUGACCAAGAUUUGCUAGCUGACAGAUGGACUAAAGUCCUUGCGGCCGAAGAGUAUGAACUCAAACACCCCUCCAAGAGUUACCCAAAGCGCAGGCCGCUACCCCGAUCAGAGGAGGAAGCACCUACAUCACCAGCGCACGACAUGGCAGACCGGCCACCUCGCGGCCGCGACAGAGAGGCCUCUCGGCCCUCCACCCAAGCCAUGCCCCGACGCCGCUCAACUAAGGCACGGGAAAAUGCACCAGACCUGUGAGACGUACUGGAGGAUAAGGCAAGACAAACAAGAUCGAUCUACGGAUCACGUAGGCGCCCUACGGCACGUGACGAUGAUCUUAACUCCGGAUACAACAAAUCCGGCUGGGCCGAACACAACAGACAUAGCUCUUCCAAGCUGCGUCGUGAUAUAGCCCAGUACAGAGGCGCCGCACACCCGCUAUGCUUCACGGAUGAAGUAAUGGAUCAUAAAAUCCCAGAGGGUUCCAAACCCGUAAACAUCGAAUCAUACGAUAGCACAACAGAUCCGGCAGUAUGGAUCGAGGAUUAUCUCCUUCACAUCGACAUGGCACGCGGCGAUGAUCUACACGCCAUCAAAUACCUCCCGCUCAAACUUAAAGGACCGGCCCGGCAUUGGCUUAACAGCUUGCCAGCAGACUCAAUCGGUUCUUGGGAGGACCUGGAAGCCGCAUUCCUCGACAACUUCUAGGGCACUUACGUGCGAUCACCGGAUGCCAACGACUUAAGCCACAUAAUUCAGCAGCCAGAGGAAUCAGCCAGGAAAUUCUGGACACGGUUCCUAACAAAGAAAAACCAGAUAGUCGACUGUCUGGACGCAGAGGCCCUAGCAGCCUUCAAGCAUAACAUCCACGACGAGUGGCUUGCCCGGCACCUGGGACAGGAAAAACCGAAAUUUAUGGCAGCCCUCACGACACUCAUGACCCGCUUUUGCGCGGGAGAAGACAGCUGGCUAGCUUGCAGUAACAACUUAUCAAAGAACCCUGGUAAUUCGGAUACCAAGGACAAAAGUGGCAGGACACGUCAGAAUAAGUAAAAACGCCGCGUUAGCAGCGACAUCAAUGAAGACACGGCAGUCAAUGCCGGAUUCAGAGGCUAUAAAUCCGGUCAGCAAAAAAAGCCAUUGAAAAAGAAUACUCAGGGCCCGUCCAGUUUGGACCGAAUACUCGACCGCUUGUGCCAGAUACAUGGCACCCUCGAAAGGCCAGCCAAUCACACUAACAGGGAUUGUUGGGUGUUCAAGCAGGCAGGCAAGUUAAGAGCCGAAAACAAAGACAAGGGGCUGCACAGCGACGACGAGGAGGAGCCCAGGCCGCCGAACAACAAUGGACAGAAGGGCUUGCCCCCACAAGUGCGGACGGUGAACAUGAUAUACGCAACCCACAUUCCCAAGAGGGAGCGGAAGCGUGCGCUACGGGACGUAUACGCGAUGGAGCCAGUCGCCCCAAAGUUCAACCCAUGGUCCUCCUGCCCGAUCACUUUUGAUCGAAGGGACCAUCCCACUAGCAUCCGUCAUGGCGGCUUCGCCGCAUUGGUUCUCGACCCAAUCAUCGACAGAUUUCAUCUCACAAGAGUCCUCAUGGACGGCGGCAGUAUCCUGAACCUGCUUUACCAGGAUACAGUGCGGAAAAUGGGCAUACAUCCCUCAAGGAUUAAGCCCACAAAAUGACCUUUAAAGGUGUUAUACCAGGUGUAGAAGCCAACUGUACAAGCUCAGUAACACUUGACGUGGUCUUCGGAUCCCCGGACAAUUUCCGAAGUGAAGAGUUAAUCUUCGAUAUAGUCUCGUUUCGCAGUGGCUAUCACGCCCUGCUUGGACGAACCGCAUUCACAAAGUUCAAUGCGGUGCCGCACUAUGCAUAUCUCAAGCUCAAAAUGCCAGGCCCUCGAGGAGUAAUCACGGUCAAUGGAAACACUGAACGCUCCCUUCAUACGGAGGAGCACACGGCGGCUCUCACAGGGGAAGUACAUAGUAGCCUUCUUAGGCAAUUCUCCAGUCCUGCCGUUAAAAAGCCAGACACUGCCAAGCGCGCCCGGAGUAACCCACAGCAGGACCGCCUGGCACGCUCUGAGCAAGCGUAGCAAUGUGGCCCCAACCCCAGCUCUCGCGACAUAGCAAAACCAGUGCCUCGCGUACAUAACUACGCCCUUGAAAUACCAUGGGCACAGGGGAAGGGGCACAAUAAUGGCACGCCCAAAAUACGGCUUAAAACGUACUAGGGGCUGCCAAAUUCUCUUUUUUUUAAUUUUUUCUUACUUUUAGGACUCCAUACUUCGGACGACCUGGUAGGCAAUUCGACUGGCGCACAAACGAUGCAAGAUCCAGGGAGGCAGACAAGCUAUGCCGCACUAUGGAACUCCCAGGUGGUCUCUGUUACGAGCAGUAUGCCUGUUUUGAAUACAAUUCUGCGGCCUGCCCCUGGUCAGGACAUGUUAAAUAGUCCAAUAUCUUUUUGCUUAUCGCACUAUUUGUAUCGUUCGGCUUUGAUAAAUAGCCUCUCUAUAAACAAUGCAUAGCUUUUUGUCUAUUUUUUGCAGUAUCCUCUUUUCACAUAUAUGUUUAUUAAAUGACAUGAUUGCACCCGUACACCAUGGUACGGCAAACACGCCAGGGGCUUCAGUAACCCUCAUUAUGGUGUGAGAAGUCCGUACACUUUCACAAGUGCGGCACCCCGAACUUAUAGCACUAUAUGCAUCGGCUCUGAAUCAUGAUUUGGAUCAAUAGUUGGGUUUGCCCGGCCCCUAUGUUUUGGUGCCUUACAUUCCGCUAUAUCGGCUAAGGUAGCACUAGGAGAACCACUGAGAUUGUGCCCCGGUUCAGCUGGGUUAAGCACCUCAGUGGAGAAAGCUGAAACUGACUGUAAUGAUGAGGUGAGAGACCGGUCGCUGUUCGAGAGGUUUUUCGAGUCCCUAAAGACUUAUGCCGCUUCGAGCGAGAAGCUGGCUUUGUCCGGCCAAGGCGUGGAUAGCGCCCCGAACUCGGUCUUCCGAACUAGGGGCUUCGCCGAAAUUUAAAAUUAUAGAGUUCUAUGGCUAAGUGAGAGUGUUCUAGCAUUAUAGUCCGAUUGCCUGGUUCGUUGUGAUGAGCGCCUCCCUCGAAGGACCCAACUAUGGGAAAAAGAGCGCUCAGGUUUAUCCCGAACACCCCAGCACUAGUGGCAUGGGGGCACAAGCCGACGACUGGCCAUCUCUCAAUUUUUUGAUAAACGGCCGCACAGAAAGUAAUAUUUUAAAUUCAAUAAGCAUUGCUUAGCGCAUAUGAACAAGUUUUCAGCGCACAGGAUAAACACGAGCGAGUUCAUUCAAAACUCACAUCCUUGGUACAUUCAUCCGCCACAAGGUGGGCACCUGCAAGAACAUCCUUGUAGUAGUUCUCGGGCUUGCGAUGCUCCUUCCCCGGCGGCGGCCCGUCCUUCACAACCUUCUCACCGUCCAGCUUACCCCAGUGCACCUUUGCACGGGAAAGGGCCCGACGGGCACCUUCGAUGGAGACGGAGCGCUUGAUGACCUCGAGCCUCGGACAGGCCUCCACCAGCCGCCGCACCAGCCUUAAAUAGCUCCCAAGCAGGGCCUCUCCGGGCCACAGCCGAACUAUGAAGCCCUUCAUGGCCUGUUCGGCCGCCUUGUGGAGCUCGACGAGCUGUUUCAGCUGGUCGCCCAAGGGCACAGGGUGUCCGGCCUCAGAAUACUGAGACCAGAACACCUUCUACAUCGAGCUGCCCUCUUCAGCUCGGUAGAAUGCGGCGGCGUUGGAUAUGCUGCAGGGAAGAUUUGCGAAUGCCCCUGGAGAGCUCCGGAUUAGGGUAAGUAACAAGUAGUUUACUUUUAUAUUUCUGCUUUGCAUAAAGAAUGCCUUACCCGCUGCUAUCUUCCUCAUCUCCUCCAACUCUUGGAGGGCCUUUUGGGCUUCGGCCUUGGCAGACUUGGCUGUCUCAAGGGCCGUCGCGAGCUUGGAUGCUUGCGCCUUUGACUCAAGCUCCAAACUCUCAUGUUUUUUCAUGAGAGCCUGAAGAUCUUGCUGCACCUCGCCGACCUGAGCCCCAAUUCUGUCUCGCUUGGUGCGCUCUGCGGCCGUUUUCUUUUCGGCCUCAGACAGCGCCUGCUUAAGGGUCGCCACCUCAGUCGUGGCCCCUACAAUAAGCAGUACAAUCCUGUUAUUUUUUUGCAAUCACGCCUUUGUAUAGGCACUUUUCUGUAAGGUAUUUCUUACCUUCUUUCUCCUUGAGCCGCCGCUUGGCAAGGCCGAGCUCUUGCUCGGUCCGCUCGAGGUCCUGCUUCAGGACUGCCCACCUCCACAGUCAGUGCGGCGGUGGAUAGCAGCGAAGCCUGCAUACGCAUAUUGACUAUUUUUUGUUAGACUCCUGCGAUAUUUAAAAGAUCCUCUAUUUGGCUUUUCUUUCCGAACGCCAAACAGAGCAUCAGGGGCUACUGUCUAUGCGGUAAUAUUUUUACAUAUUUUUACUUACCUCGAAGCCUGUUAGAAGGCUAGCGCAAGCUUCAGUCAGUCCGCUCUUGGCGGACCGAACCUUCUGGAUCACCGUACUCAUAAUAGUACGGCGCCCCUCAUCGAUGGAGUUGCCGUCAAGCACCUCCAGCAGAUUGUCCGGCACCUUCGGUUGGACGGAGGCCGCCGGCUCAGAAGGCUUGCUCCUCUUGGAAGGAGUUCGCCUACCGCGGUCUGGAACUGUGGAAGAUUACGGUGCGGUGUCCGGCACAAAGCCGGACUUGGAGCCCUGGGGGGCGUUAUCCCCUUCACUCCUGGAGUCCGGGAGGUUUCCUUGCGGCUCCUCCGGGACCACCUCCUCCUGCCCCGGAGCUUGUCACAAUGCCACUUCAACGUCGUCUGCAGUGCGGGGGGAGACAGCGGGCGGAACUGAGUUCACGUUCGAUGAGUCCAGGGAGCCGCCCGACGAUUCGUUGAAUUCGGCCUGGGGCGAGCUGCAUAAUUACGUUCGACAUUAGGGAAAGAUGUGCAACAAAGGAACAUCAUGAGUUACUCUGAUAUCCGAACUUAUGAUUUCGCCAGACUCUUGGCCCUGUUUGGCCACUCCUCUUCGCCCUCUUCGGCGUCGGAGGAGUAGUCUGGCGGAGGGGUCUUCAUUUUCCUAGACCCCUCGGCCUCCCCCGUUGGGGCGGCCUUCCUCUUCUCUCCUCGCUCCUCUGGGGGAGGAGAGUUUUCUUCUUCCUCCUCCUCGUUUUCACGGGAAGAGGGCGUCUCGGACUCAUCGGAUGACGAGUCCGACACCACCACGUUACGGGCACUCUUUCGAGUCCCCGUGGUCUUCUUCUUCUUGGCCUUCUUCUCCGGCACCACAUAAGGCGCCGGAACUAGCAGCUUCACUAGUAGAGCUGGGGCUGGGUCUUCGGGCAGCGGAGCUGGACAGUUAAUCGGUCCGGAUAUCGCCCGCCAAGCCUGUCAAAGGUAAGGGAGUUUAGAUCCCGCAUAGAGUCAAACUAUGAGAAAAGCUUAACAUCCUGUAAAAGGUGAAGAUAGCUUACCUCUCUAGCGUGACGCUGCGAGCUGUAUCCGCGGUCCUCGGAAGCGGAUGCGGGAGCCUUGGGGCCUUUGAAUAGCACCUUCCAGGCAUCUUUGUAUGUCGUGUCGAGGAGCCUGCUAAGGGUUUGGUGCUGCGCCGGGCCGAACUCCCACAGAUUAAAAUCCCGUUGUUGGCACGGGAGGAUCCGGCGGACGAGCAUAACCUGGAUUACAUUAACAAGCUGGAUUGGCUUGUUCACCAGGGACUGGAUGCAUGUUUGCAAUCUGGUCACCUCUUUUUCAUCACCCCACGACAGGCCCGUCUCUUUCCAGGACAUAAGCUGCGUGGGGGGUCCGGAUCGGAACUCGGGGGCUGCGAUCCAUUUCAGAUCGCGUGGCUCGGUGAUGUAGAACCACCCGAAUUGCCACCCCUUUAGGGUCUCCACAGAAGAGCCCUCGAACCAUAGGACGUUGGCCAUCUUGCCCGCCAUGGCGCCUCCGCACUCCGCCUGGCUGCCGCGCACCACCUUGGGCUUGACAUUGAAGGUCUUGAGGCAGAGGCCGAAAUGAGGGCGGACGCGGAGGAAAGCCUCGCACACGAUGAUAAACGCCGAGAUGUUGAGGAUGAAGUUUGGGGCCAGAUCGUGGAAAUCCAGGCCGUAGUAGAACAUGAGCCCCCGGACAAAUGGGUGGAGUGGAAAACCCAGUCCGCAGAGGAAGUGGGGAAGAAAUACUACCCUCUCAUGGGGCCUUGGGGUGGGGAGAAGCUGCCCCUUUUCGGGAAGCUGGUGCGCAAUGUCCUUAGACAGGUAUCCGGCCUUCCUUAGCUUCUUGACUUGGCCCUCCGUGGCGGAGGAGACCAUCCACUUGCCUCCCGCUCCAGACAUUGUUGGAGAAGGUUGAGGUGGGAAGUGCGGGCUUGGGUGCUGGAGCUCGAGUGCGCAGGAGAUGGAUAGGCAAAGGAGGAAGAAGGCGUAGGUAAAAAGGUGGAUCCUUAUCCCCUUAUAUGGGCGGAUGCGGUUGUGCGUCCCCACCAGCCUAGUAAAACUUGCUUGCCUCCCAAGCGCCGUGAUAAAUGGCGUGGUUGGGUUACCCACGUCCGUAUUGAUGAGAAUCUUGUAAAAUAGGUACACGAUCUCUGCUUUGACAAGACGUGCCAAGGAAACCGCCUCGCAAAACAUGCUGAGGUGGAAAAGUAAAAACGAUUCGAGUAAAAGACUUGGCCGUAGUGUGAUGACGCACUGCGGAAUACGUCAGCAAAUUUGAUUUGUGUUAAUAUUAUUCUCUCUAUGGCAAUAUGAGGAAACUUAUUUUGCAGAGCCGGACACUACUCUUGGUGUUUAUGAUCUUCUAUGAAGGACUUGGAGGAGGAACCCGCCUUGCAAUGCCGAAGACAAUUUGCGUGCCGGACUCAUCGUCAUUGAAGCCUGGUUCAGGGGCUACUGAGAGAGUCCUAGAUUAGGGGGUGUUCGGGUAGCCGGACUAUACCUUCAGCCGGACUCCAGGACUAUGAAGAUACAAGAUUGAAGACUUCGUCCCGUGUCCGGAUGGGACUUUCCUUGGCGUGGAAGGCAAGCUUGGCGAUGCGGAUAUUCAAGAUCUCCUACCAUUGUAACCGACUCUGUGUAACCCUAACUCAAUCCGGUGUCUAUAUAAACCGGAGGGUUGUAGUCCGUAGGACAUCAACUCCAUAUACAACAAUCAUACCAUAGGCUAGCUUCUAGGGUUUAGCCUCCUUGAUCUCGUGGUAGAUCUACUCUUGUACUACCCAUAUCAUCAAUAUUAAUCAAGCAGGAGUAGGGUAUUACCUCCAUCGAGAGGGCCCGAACCUGGGUAAAAACAUCGUGUCCCUUAUCUCCUGUUACCAUCCGGCCUUGACGCACAGUUCGGGACCCCCUACCCGAGAUUCACCGGUUUUGACAUCGACACUUGUCACUAGGGCCCGAGUGCCGUGAUUUCAUAUCUACACCUAUUAUGUUUUCAUGAAUAUAUGUGAGUUCUUGAUCCUAUCUUGCAAGUCUAUAGUCAGCUAUUAUGUGUUAUGAUCCGUUAACCCCGAAGUGACAAUAAUCGGGAUACUUACCGGUGAUGGCCGUAGUUUUAGGAGUUCAUGUAUUCACUAUGUGUUAAUGCUUUGGUCUGGUACUCUAUUAAAAGGAGGCCUUAAUAUCCCAUAGUUUCCAAUAGGACCCCGGUGCCACGGGAGGGUAGGACAAAAGAUGUCAUGCAAGUUCUUUUCCAUAAGCACGUAUGACUAUAUUCGGAAUACAUGCCUACAUUACAUUGAUGAACUGAAGCUAGUUCUGUGUCACCCUAUGUUAGAACAGUUGCAUGAUUGAUCGCAUCCGACAUAAUUCUCCAUCACCGAUCCAAUGCCUACAAGCUUUUCAUAUAUUGUUCUUUGCUUAUUUACUUUUCCGUUGCUACUGUUACAAUCACUAUAAAACCAAAAAUAUUACUUUUGCUACCGUUACCACUACUAUUAUAUUACUGUGCUACUAAAUACUUUGCUGCAGAUAUUAAGUUUCUAGGUGUGGUUGAAUUGACAACUCAGCUUUACUUGAGAAUAUUCUUUGGCUCCCCUUGUGUCAAAUCAAUAAAUUUGGGUUGAAUACUCUACCCUUUAAAACUGUUGCGAUCCUCUAUACUUGUGGGUUAUCACAAGUCCACCUAGCGCAGGCUCGCGAAGGUCUCCUCCAGGUCCUGAAUCAAAGUUCUUGCCUCCCGAGACUUCACCACAAUGUCGUCGAUGAAGGCCUCAGCGUUUCUCCCGAGCUGCCGCCCCAAGGCGAUGUGCAUCACUCGCUGGAUGGUCGCUCCUGCGUUGCGCAGUCCGAAUGGCAUGCAAGUGUAGCAGUAUACCCCGCAUGGGGUCCAGAAAGCUGUUUUCUCCACAUCUUCCACCGCGAUCUUGAUUUGGUGGUAGCCUGAGAACGCAUCCAUGAAACAUAGCAAAUCACACUCCGCGGUGGAGUCGACAAUCUGGUCGAUGCGCGGCAGUGGGAAUGGGUCUUGAGGGCAAGCCUUGUUGAGGUUGGUGAAGUCGACACACAUGCGUUCCUUCCCUCCUUUCUUCGGCACGACGACUGGGUUUGCCAGCCACUCUGGGUACCGAACCUCGCGAAUGACAUCUGCUGCCUCCAGCUUGUAGGUUUCCUGAACGAUGAAAUACUGCUUCUCCAUGGAUUGUCGCCUCGCCUUCUGCUUCACAAGGAGCACAUUGGGGCACACCCUCAGAUGAUGCUCAAUCACUCCUCUUGGGACCCCAACUAGCUGCUUAGGCUCCCAGGCAAACACUUCCUUGUUCACUCGCAAGAAGUCCACCAACUCCUUUUCUUGAUCUGGGGCGAGGUCGGUGCCUAUGGUAAAGGUAGCGCCAGAGGCCCCGACUGCGUCGACCGGUAUCUGCUUCAUCUUGGCUUGACCUUGAGUGAAUAGCUGCUUCUUCUUUCUCGGUGCAGCCCCCUUGGUUCUAGACACGGCCUUGUCGGCCGGGCAAGCUGCCGCCGUGGCCCUGAAGGCGAGCUUGAGGGCCGCCACGGCUUCCUUGGUGUCUCCGGCCACGGUGAGGACGCCCUUGCUUCCUGGCAUCUUCAUGAGGUUGUAGGCAGGAUGGGUAGCUACCAUGAAUUGGGCCAGCACCUUGUACCCGAGGAUGGUGUUGUACGGUAAGCCGAUGCGGGCGAUGUUGAAGUCAAUUAUCUCAGUGCAGCAGUUGUUGCGUGUGCCGAAGGUUAGAGGGAGACGGAUCUGCCCCAAAGGGUUGGAGGAGCCGCCGCCGACCCCGGAGAAAGGCUUGCUGGGGCAGAGCCACUCAAGUGGUACGUGAAGGAGGCUGAAAGCCUCCAUGGAGAGCACGUUGACGUCGGCGCCGCUGUCGAUGAGGGUCUUGGUGACGACUACAUUGUAGAUGGUGGGUGAGCAAAGCAUCGGAAGCACGCCCGAGCCGACGGUGGUGACUGGGUGAUCCCUUGAGUCGAAGGUCAGGUCGGCCUUGGGAGCCGCCCAACCCGGGGGAGCCCCCUGCCGCGUGGAGGCAGCGCCGACCUGGCGAAAGAACGACUUGGUGUGACGGUCCGAGGAUGGUGCCUGCGAGCCACCGAGGAGAGCCGCGACUACGGGGGGUGCUGGUUCCCCGAAGCGCGUGAUGAAGAGGUCGCGCAGCUGCUCCCAAGAGGCCACAGAAGAUUCCGGCAGAUGGAGGAGCCAGGCGUGCGGCACGCCAGCGAGGGCCAUUGGGAGGCAGUUGGCCAUGACUUUAUCAUCGCCCCCGGCCUCCAGGAUGGCCUCCUCGUAUGCCAGCAGAAAGGCCGCCGGAUCCGCCGCACCAUCAUAACAGGGCGGCAUCUCCGGCUUGAACUUGUGCGUCCACUGCACCCGCCGCAAGGCGGGGUGAAGGCCCGGAGCCCCCCGGUGCUGCGGAGGGCGCCCGUCGAGCUAGUCGGAGAAGAGGCAUCAUCCAUGAGAGUUGGUCGGAGAGGCAAGGCUGUCGGGGGGGGCAAGGCUUCGGCGCACCCCUACCCGGCGCGCCAAAUGUCAGAUUUCGGGUUUUGGCAAAACCCUUGAGGUUUGAACAUUGGGGUGCACACAAAUAUGUCUCCCCCCUCUAGCUUGCACUCCGUAUGAUCUCACGGCCUAGCUCGAUGAACCAGAAGAAAGAGAGACAAAAGAUUUAUACUAGUUCGGGCCACCGUUGUGGUGUAAUACGCUACUCCAGUGUGGUGAGGUGGAUUGCCUCUUGGGCCGCGGAUGAAUAGUUACAAGGGAAGAACAACCUCUUGAGGGGAGGUGUUCUUGUGCUUGGUGAACUUGUGUGGUCAGGGAUCGUCAGGGUCUCCCACCUAUGGUGGUGGCUAGUCCUAUUUAUAGAGGCCCUGGUUCUCUUCCCAAAUAUUGAGCGGGAAGGGAUCCCAGAAUGGCCAAAUUCGAAGGGAGACAACUAGUACAAGUUAUCCUGACAAAAGUAGUCUUUGCCUGCUAAAGGCUCUGGUGGUGACGCUGUCUUGGGCUCCACGAUUACCUCCAUCCUACCGUCCUGCUGGUCUUGAUCUUGUUGCACCGAUAUGGAAACCUUUGCUUGAUGCAUCGGGACUCCUCGCCCGCGCCUGCCUCUUUAGCACCAAAGAGGAAACGAGGACACUGCACGUUGGGCCCACCUAGUGCCCGCCUGGCUCCAGUCGUCAUGGCUUGCAUCACAGGAACCUCGCAAGGUGUCCCUUGCCUUGAUCUCUCCGCCCCUCGCGAGCCAGCCUGGUGAGGCAGCCCCUGAGGAGGUCUUGUGUCGUCCGCCUUGGGAGACUCGGCCCCUCGUGAGGGUCUUGAGUGUUUGCUGGUGAAGAUGGGUCGUACAGGGCCGCAGGGGGAGCCACGCCGCGGGCCGCAGGUAGGCAAGUCUGGGGACCCCCAUUCCCAGAACGCCGACAAAGUCUUUGUAAUCCAAAAGAGUGGGCACAUCACGAGUUAAAGUUUUUACCUCUUCAAACCCACUUUCAUCAAUUUUCUCAAAAAGAUUUUCACCCUCUGAAUUAUCGGGAUGCCUUCUAGCUAAAGUUGACUCUUCUCUAGUCCCUUUUUCAUCAAUCUUAAUUUUACUAAAGAAUGAAUCAAUAGAAGAAACACCAAUCAUUUUAAGAUAUUCAUCAAGAAAAUGCUUUCUCUAAAAAUUCUCUUUUAGCUCUAAGCAUAGCGGUUAUUUUGUUACUUUCAUCCACAGAAACAUAAAGAGCUUUAAUUGAUUCAUCAACCUUAGGCACAAAAAAUUUCAUCUUGAGAUUUUCCACAUCAUGAGAAAUUCUAUCGACACUUCUAGGCAAAUCAUCAAUCUUAUUCAACUUCUCUUCUAUUGAAGUGUUGAAAACUUUUGCAUGUUUGAUAAAUGAUUUAAUAUUGUUCUCAAGAUUAGAGGUGUUCCUAUUAUUAUUAUAAAAUUGAUUUCCAUAGGAAUUACCAUAAUUAUUAGAGGAAUUACUAGGAAAAGGCCUAGGAAUACCUCUAUAAGCAUUGUUAUUGAAAUUAUUUUGAGAGAUAAAAUUCACAUCAAUGGCAUCACUAUUUUUCUCAAUCAAAGUAGACAAAGGCAUAUCCUUAAAGUCAAUAGGAGCACUUUUACUAGCAACCAAUUUCAUAAGAGCGUCAACUUUUUCACUCAAAGAAGAAAUUUCUUCAACCGAAUUAACCUUUUUACUAGUAGGAGCUCUUUUGGUAUGCCAUUGCGAAUAAUUUGCCAUAAUAUUAUCAAGAAAUUUGGCGGCUUCACCCAAAGUAAUUUCCAUAAAAGUACCACCCGCGGCAGAAUCUAAAAGAUUACGAGAAACAAAAUUCAACCCUGCAUAAAAAUUUUGUAUGAUCAUACAAAGAUUUAACCCAUGAGUUGGGCAAUUCCUUAGCAUCAUUUUCAUCCUUCCCCAAGAUUGUGCAACAUGCUCAUGUUCAAGUUGCUUGAAAUUCAUGAUGUGAGUUCUAAGGGAAAUAAUUUUUGCGGGCGGAAAAUUCUUACUGAUAAAAGCAUCUUUGCACUUAUUCCAUGAAUCGAUACUAUUGCGAGGCAAAGAAGAGAACCCAAUUUUUAUAGAAUCACACAAAGAAAAUAGAAAUAAUUUCACCUUCACGACAUCAUUGUCCACAUCUUUUUUCUUUUGCAUAUCGCAUAAUUCCACGAAGGUAUUAAGAUGGGACGCGACAUCCUCGUUAGGAGUACCGGGAAAUUGAUCUUUUAUAACAAGAUUCAACAAGCAGUAUUAAUAUCACAAGACUCCGCACUAGUGGCGGGAGGAGUAAUCGGAGUGCCGAUAAAAUCAUUGUUGUUGGUAUUUGAGAAAUCACACAACUUGGUGUUCUCUUGAGUCAUGAUGACUACGCAACAAGAUUGCACUCAAAAACAGAUCCGACAAGAAAGCGGCAAACGAAAAUGUGGGGGGAAUAAAACGACGAAUUUUGUGAAGUGGGGGAGAGGAAAACAAGAGGCAAAUGGCGAAUAAUGUAAAUUGCAAGGAUAUGAGAUUUGUGAUUAGGAACUUGGUAUAUGUUGAAGAUCCUCCCUGGCAACGGUGCCAGAAAUUCCUUUUGAUGCGGCUUGAAGCUACAUCGGUAUUUCCCCAAAGAGGAAGGGAUGAUGCAGCAUAGCGGCGGUAGGUAUUUCCCUCACAUGUGAAACCAAGGUUAUCAAACCAAUAGGAUAACCAAGCAACACAACAUAAACAUCACCUGCACACAAAUAAGAACUUCUCGCAACCCGACAUGUAAAAGGGGUUGUCAAUCCCUUUCGGGUAGUGGCGCCCCAAGAUGGGCAAACGGGCGUGAAUAAAAUUGUAGUAGAUUGAUAGAUCGAAUGCCAAAUAAAAUAAAUGAUAAUAAAUUGCAACAAGGUAUUUUUUAUUUUUGGUUUAAUAGAUCUGAAAAUAAAAGCAAAGGAAAAUAGAUCGCAAAGGCAAAUAAUAUGAAAAAGAGACCUGAGGGUCGUGGGUUUCACUAGUGGCUUCUCUCGAGAAAAAUAGUAAACAGUGGGUGUCGGUAUACAAAAGUAGGGGCUCUCCUUUUGACCCCUUUACUUGUGCGUGGGCAGUCAGAGCCACGCGCCGCAGCAACACUUAGCAGGGCAGAGGAGGGAAGCCGGAGAGAAGCCGAAGCACCAAGGCAAACAAGACAACGCCAAGGCCGAGAGCACAAAGAGCGGAGGGACGAGGCAAGUUCCCCUGAGAAGACCCUUGCCGGGGCGGCUCGCCCAACACCAGCGGAGUGCGCCACCCUUGAGCCCACGGUCUCCAACACCAUCAACCACAUUGGGCUAGGGCCCGGGAGGCACCUCCAUGGUGGCAUGCAGAUCUUUGUGAAGACAGAGAAUACUCAAGAUCAGAUGAGGACCAGAAGACGGCAACCUUUGGCGGGAUCCUAGCCGAGGAAGACCCUUGCGGGACAACGGCAACACCACGGCAAGACCCUUGCCGGGCCCCCGGCAAGGCCCUUGCCGAGAGCAUUAGCAGGGCCACUGCUCGACCCGUACCAGCCAAGACUACCACCGCUGUUCACAUGCAGCUGCCAGCCCAACCAGCUGGGCAGGCACCUGCGUGGCAAGAUACAACUUUCACGGCAAAUCAGCAGGCACCUGCGUGGCAGCAUGCGGACCUUCAUGAAGGCCUUACCACUGCACCAACUUAGCUGCCUACCUGUCUACAUGGCACUACGUGCAUUGCUAGCCUGGGCGCGUGUCGAAGCGAGGAGGAGCAGCGACGGACGGGACGGACCUCGUUCCCGUCCCCGAUAAAGCUAAGGGACACCUAAGCAAUGCAUUAAAUGCGUCUUGUCCUGUAAUACUGGCGAUAAGCUCGCAGUACUGUAGGCCUUUCCACCUCAUGUCUGUCACUGUGGCAGCCCCUUUCGACUAUAAAAGGAGGCCCAUGGCAUACUGGAAGGGGAUUCGGCUCUUUUGAACUACACAUCGACGUAGCUAGUUCGAAAGCCCAAGAACACUCCCACCAAAGCAGGACUAGGGUUUUACACAUCCUCGUGGCCCGAACCUAGGUAUACGAUCUUUGUGCUGACUGUUAAUCCUUCUCUUCUCAUGACCCCGCGCCCCGGCAACCGUAGUAGGGAUUCUUGUGGUCCCAUAGGUGUCGUUUCCCACCGACAUCUUUCACGCGCCAGGUAGGGGGCGCAGUUGUGAGAAUCUGUUCUAGCAGUGAGCGUAGCAGUUCUUCGUUGCCAUGGCUUCCAGAGAAAAGGACGGCCGGGAGGACGAGGCCGCCUACAAGCGCGAAAGACGCCGGUGCGGCGACAGAAAAGCUAAGUCAUACGAAACCUUAAGCAAUUUCCUUUUUAUAUAUGAGGUUAUUGUCCUCGGAGGUCCUGCCCUAUGUAUGAAAGCCUGCAUGCAAAGGGGCCCUACCGCAAUUGGCAACACCCUUGUUCUAUUUCGAGUCCGCUCAACAGCUCAAGCGGCUGUGUCGAGAGUGGCAGGGUAGCCUUCCGCAAUUGGCAAUGCUCUCGGUUCUGACUCGAGUCAAGCUCGAUAGUUCGAGCAGCCGCGUUGAGAACGGUAAGGUGGCUCGCUCGGCAGCAAGCACACCCGGCAGGCCAUUGAGGAUCCGCCCUCAAGGUGCUGCCCUGGGUUUACGCGCCGGCAAGCCUGCCCGUUCAACGUAGGGUAAACAUACAAAGGGGAAGAUCGAACAGGAGAUAACACGCAUUGUACCAAAAGUGCUGCUGAGUUAUAUUACAUCAAUUGUUGCUGCGGUCCUAACUAAAGAUAAAAACUAUCUUGGUCGUGAACCUGCAAUGACAGUGGGAGACGGGGUACCUACUCUCGGUGUUGGCCCUCCACCCUCUCGAUUUCACCGAUGUGGCUGAUGAUGGGCUUGAUACGCUCCUUGAGCGCCGCGAGGUCCACACCCAUCAGCAAGUUGUCCAGCGCGGCGUCGAAGUCGAGGUUGGGGUACCAGUACGCCAUCUUGAUGAGAACCUUGGUCAUGCCACCCUGGCAAAGCCUUCGGGCCUCAUUGGCCAGCGAGGCCGCCCGGUUGGCAUGAAGCCGCUCCAAGGCACCGACAACCCUCUCAAAGAACAGGGUCAGGCUAUAGUUGGCGCUCAAGUUCGGCUCUGGGGCAUACCUCACAUCCGAUAUCCCCAUGGUAGCCAGCUGCGUGGUGGCCUUGUUGGCAACGUCGGUGAGGCGAUUGAGCCAGCGGUUCUCGCCUUCCACAUGCUCCUUAUGGGCGAGGGCGUCGUCCUUCCGCAACUGCUUCUCGGUCUCCAGCUUCUUGGUCAGGGUCUCCUCCUGGGCCUUGCUCUCCGACAACAUCCCCUCGAGACCCUCCAGCUUCAGUCUGAGGUCUCUGAUGGAGUUGUUGGCCACGGAGAGCUCCCCGGCCCUACUGAGGACUGCGCCUUGCGCCUCCGUUAGGGCGCUGUUGAGCGUGUCCUUCUCCUUGGACAGCGCCAGGACCUGGUUUUUCAACCCGUCCGGCUCCACCUCCAGCUCCUUCGUCUUGUCGGCAUGAACCUGGGCCUUCUCAAUAUCGGCCUACUUCAUGGUGAGAUCCACCUCAUGAUUGGCCAGCUUGCCCUGGGCGACCUUCAGCUCCUCACAAGCUUGGCGGAACCAAUUCUGCAUCUCGGCGACGUGCACCUUCAGGUCCGCCUCCUCCUUGUCCACCGUUGCCGCCCUGGGCUUGGCCGUGUCCAGGCGGGCGCGGUGGAGUACUUGGAGCUUCCGGAAGAUAGCACCCAUGGCCUAGAGAAGCCGCUCCUCCUGACAACCAUCGCCACCGGCUCUCGGCUCAUCAACAACCUCGAGCCCGGCGGUGGCGAGCACCUCUUCGUCGAAAACCUCUCCCUCGAUGGGCGCCCUGGCGCUCGACGACCCGGGGAGGUGGACAAAGAGAUUGUCGCCCACCCUCAGGUACCUGCCGGAGCCAGAGGCGGUAGAGGAGGAAGGCUGGUCAUCAGUCCCCUCCUCCUUGGCAACGGGCUCGCCGGCCUCCCCGGCAGGUCCCUUACCGGCCUCCUCGGCAGUGCCUUGCCGGGCUCCCCGGCAGGCCCCUUGGCGGCAUCCUCGGCAGCACCCUUGGUGGCCUCCUCAGCGGCGGUCUUCUCGGCCUCCGCCGCGGCGUUCUUGGCGACAUCCUCGAUAACGGUCUCCAGGUCCUCCGGGUCCGUCGGGAGAGGAUCUGGGUAUUGGAAGGGGGUGAAGCCAAGACCAGGAUUCAAGAAGAACAUAAUAGAAGGGAUGGAAGGCGAGUGGCUUACCCAUGCCGGCCUGGGAAGCAGAGGCCCCCUCUCUGCCAGCAUCAGGCGCCGAGGUGCGGCCACCAGUGCCCAAGCCUGCCUCCUCCUCCUCUGUGUGCAUGGGCUCGGAGCUUGGCUCCCUUGCCGGGGACGCCCCUCGGGGCGGCGUGGUCGAUGGAGGCGGCGUGUUGGGGGGAGCCCUCAGGGGCUCCUCCUGCUGCUGUCCUCCCCCUACGAUCGCGGCAAGGUCAGCGCCAAGGAUCAUUCCCUUGGUACACGUCGACGGGAAGUGAGUGUCAAACUUACGCUAGGGGCUGCGCCGGGGGCUGCUGUCCGGACUGCUCACCACCACCAGUGGCGCCUUGGAGGUGCCCCCCGGGGGCUGGCCACCCGCCGAAGACCUGGCCCUCUUUACCCUUUGGGUCAGCGUCUCCGCAUCCCUGCCAAGACGAAAACAAGUCAAGAUGAGAAGUACAAUCAGUGGAGUUGAAGAUGACGAAAGGAAACGGCGCUUACUCAUCCUCCACCUCCUCUUCUGCGGCCUUCCUCUUCCUCCUCGGGCUGAGAGACCCGAGGUCGAAGAAGAUCUCCGUGUCGUCGCCUGCGGGAGGAGGGGAAGCAGACAGGGUUGGGGAAUGCUUGGAAGAAGGAGAGGCAGAUGCUUUAUUCUUCGCCACCGCGGCCUUCACCAAUUUCUUCGCCGCCGUGGCCCUCGUUUGGCGCGUGGACACCUCCUGGGCAUGCCGGGGUUGCGCGGCCAUGCCGGGCUGAACUGGCUCGCCGGAGCUGGCCUACCGCAAGACUCGCCCUUUCCUCGCGGUUGGGGGCUCGACGACUUUGGCUUCCUCCCCAGACAAUUCAUCAUCGUCAUCCUCAAUGAGAGGGGCCUCGGUGCGGGCACUGCUGGCCUCCCCAGCAGACUCCGCCCACUAGGCGAGUUCCUUCUCUGGAGCCGCCGCGGCCUUGUCCUCUACGCCGCCGGUGCUGCAGGCCUCCUUGGCGAGCUUCGCCUCCGCCGCCCUGGCGGCGAUGUAAUCCAGCUCCGCCUGGGUGGUGUCUUGAUCAAGCCGCGCCUCAUCGCGGACGUACUUCUCCUCUAGAUUGCCAAAGAACUCCUGCACCCCCUCCUCCGACGGCACGACCCAGUUGGGGAUGGGGCCAAGCGCGUUACAGUCCGGCAUCAUGGCAAUGAUGUCGUUCCGGCGCGACUUAUUGCUCAGUUGGACCACCCCCACCGGCAACCCAAACAAGGGCCCCUUGGUGACCUUGUCGGCCAUUGCAACCUUGCCAGACCUCUCGGCCUUGCCGUCGCGGCCCACGUCAAGCUGGAAGAGCCGCUGGCAGAAGUGGGCGUGCGCCAGCACCGUUAAGUUGCGGUCGAGGCCGGGGCGAAGCCUCAUGAUAUCAGCCGCAUUCGUGAAGAUCCAGGCUGGCCUCCCCUUGUUAUGCAGUGGAGAAAUCCGGCGGCAGAUGAAAUCCGCCCCGAUCAUCUCAAGGGUGAGCCCGGCCUCGGUGAGGUGGAGAAUCUGGGUAACGGCUGCAACCUCUUGAGCACUGCGUUGGAUUUCCCUGAAGAGGAGAGGAUGCUGCAGAAAAGUAGCAUAAGUAUUUCCCUCAGUUUUUAAGAACCAAGGUAUCAAUCCAGUAGGAGGACACGCUCGAGUCCCUCGUACCUACACAAAAACAACAGCUCAACGCAACCAACGCGCUUAGGGGUUGUCAAUCCCUUCACGGUCACUUACGAAAGUGAGAUAUGAUAGAGAUGAUAAAUAAUAUUUUUGGUAUUUUUGGUAUAAAGAUGCAAAGUAAAAAGUAAAAGCAAAGAAAUAAUAAAGUGAUGCAGAUUAAUAUGAUGAGAAAGAGACCCGGGGGCCAUAGGUUUCACUAGUGACUUCUCUCAAGAGCAUAAGUAUUCUACGGUGGGUGAACAAAUUACUAUUGAGCAAUUGACAGAAUUGAGCAUAGUUAUGAGAAUAUCUAGGUAUCAUCAUGUAUAUAGGCAUCACAUCCGAGACAAGUAGACCAAAAUGAUUCUGCAUCUACUACUAUUACUCCACUCAUCGACCGCUAUCCAGCAUGCAUCUAGAGUAUUAAGUUAAAAACAGAGUAACGCCUUAAGCAAGAUGACAUGAUGUAGAGGGAUAGUUUCAUGCAAUAUGAUAAAAAAAACCAUCUUGUUAUCCUCGAUGGCAACGAUACAAUAUGUGCCUUGCUGCCCCUUCUGUCACUAGGAAAGGACACCGCAAGAUCGAACCCAAAGCUAAGUACUUCUCCCAUGGCAAGAAAAACCAAUCUAGUGGGCCAAACCAAACUAAUUCGAAGAGACUUGCAAAGGUAACCAAUCAUACAUAAAAGAAUUCAGAGAAGAUUCAAAUAUUAUUCAUAGAUAGACUGGAUCAUAAACCCACAAUUCAUCAGUCUCAACAAACACACCGCAAAAAGAAGAUUACAUUGAAUAGAUCUCCACAAGAGAGGGGGAGAACAUUGUAUUGAGAUCCAAAAAGAGAGAAGAAGCCAUCUAGCUACUAACUAUGGACCCGUAGGUCUGAAGUAAACUACUCACACUUCAUCGGAGGGGCUUGGAUAAUGAUGUAGAAGCCCUCCGUGAUCGAUGCCUCCUCCGGUGGAGCUCCAGAACAGGCCCCAAGAUGGAAUCUCGUGGAUAUAGAAAGUUGCGGCGGUGGAAUUAGGUUUUUGGCUCCUCUUCUGAUCGUUUGGGGAUACGUGGAUAUAUAUGGGAGGAAGAAGUACGUCGGUGGAGCUUCGAGGGGCCCAUGAGGCAGGGGCCGCGCCCUAGGGGGGCGCCCUCCACCCUCGUGGCCGCCUCGUGGCUUUCUUGACGGAGGGUCCAAGUCUCUUGGAUCUUAUCUGAUGAGAAAAUCACGUUUCCGUAGGUUUCAUUCCAUUUGGACUCCGUUUGAUAUUUUGUUUCUCUGAAACACUGAAAUAGGCAAAAAAAACAACAAUUCUGGGUUGGGCCUCCGGUUAAUAGGUUAGUCCCAAAAUUAAUAUAAAAGUGGAAAAUAAAGCCCAAUAUAGUCCAAAACAGUAGAUAAUAUAGCAUGGAGCAAUCAAAAAUUAUAGAUACGUUGGAGAUGUAUCAAGCAUCCCCAAGCUUAAUUCCUGCUCGUCCUCGAGUAGGUAAAUGAUAAAAACAGAAUUUUUGAUGCGGAGUGCUACUUCGCAUAAUUUUAAUGUAAUUCUUCUUAAUUGUGGUAUGAAUAUUAAGAUCCGAAAGAUUCAAGACAUAAGUUCAUAUUGACAUAAAAAUGAUAAUACUUCAAGCAUACUAACAAAGCAAUUAUGUCUUCUCAAAAUAACAUGGCCAAAGAAAGUUCAUCCCAACAAAAUCAUAUAGUUUAGACAUGUUUCAUUUUCGUCACACAAGAAUGCUCUCAUCAUGCACAACCGCGAUGACAAACCAAGAAAUUGUUUUAUACUUUAGUAAUCUCAAACCUAUAAACUUUCACGCAAUAAAUGAGCGCGAGCCAUGGACAUAGCACUAUGGGUGGAAUAGAAUAUAAUGAAGGGGGGUUAUGUGGAGAAGACAAAAAAGGAGAAAGUCUCACAUCAAGGAGGCUAAUCAAUGGGUUGUGGAGAUGCCCACCGAUUGAUGUUAAUGCAAGGAGUAGGGAUUGCCAUGCAACGGAUGCACUAGAGCUAUAAAUGUAUGAAAGCUCAACAAAAGAAACUAGUGGGUGUGCAUCCAACUUGCUUGCUCACGAAGACCUAGGGCACUUGAGGAGGCCCAUUGUUGGAAUAUACAAGCCAAGUUAUAUAAUGAAAAAUUCCCACUAGUAUAUGAAAGUGAUAACAUGAGAGACUCUCUACUAUGAAGAUCAUGGUGCUACUUUGAAGCACAAGUGUGGUAAAAGGAUAGUAACAUUGUCCCUUCUCUCUUUUUCUAUCAUUUUUUUUGGGCCUUUUCUUUUUUUAUGGCAUUUCUCUUUUUUGGGGGCCUUCACUUUUUAUGGCCUUUUUUUAAUUCCUCACUUGGGACAAUGCUCUAAUAAUGAUGAUCAUCACACUUCUAUUUAUUUACAACUCAAUGAUUACAACUCGAUACUAGAACAAAGAUGACUCUAUAUGAAUGCCUCCGGCGGUGUAACGGGAUAUGCAAUGAACCAAGAGUGACAUGUAUGAAAGAAUUAUGAACGGUGGCUUUGCCACAAAUACUAUGUCAACUACAUGAUCAUGCUAAGCAAUAUGACAAUGAUGAAUGUGUCAUGAUGAACGGAAUGAUGGAAAGUUGCAUGGCAAUAUAUCUCGGAAUGGGUAUGGAAAUGCCAUAAUAGGUACGUAUGGUGGCUGUUUUGAGGAAGAUAUAAGGAGGUUUAUGUGUGAAAGAGUGUAUCAUAUCACGGGGUUUGGAUGCACCGGCGAAGUUUGCGCCAACUCUCAAUGUGAGAAGGGGCAAUGCACGGUACCGAAGAGGCUAGCAAGGAUGGAAGGGUGAGAGUGCGUAUAAUCCAUGGACUCAACAUUAGUCAUAAAGAACUCACAUACUUAUUGCAAAAAUCGACAAGUCAUCAAAAACCUCAGCACUACGCGCAUGCUCCUAGGGGGAUACAUUGGUAGGAAAAGACCAACGCUCGUCCCCGACCGCCACUCAUAAGGAAGACAAUCAAAUAACACCUCAUGUUUCAAAUUUGUUGCAUAACGUUUACCAUACAUGCAUGAUACGGGACUUGCAAACCUCAACACAAGUAUUUCUCAAUUUUACAACUACUCAACUAGCAUGACUUUGAUAUUAUUACCUCCAUGUCUCAAAACAAUCAUCAAGCAUCAAACUUUUCUUAGUAUUCAACAUACUCAUACAAAAGUUUUAUUAUUAAUCUUGCAUACCAAGCAUAUUAGGAUUUUAAGAAAAUUACCAUGCUAUUAAGACUCUCAAAAUAAUCUAAGUGAAGCAUGAGAGAUCAAUAGUUUCUAUAAAACAGAUCCACCACCGUGCUCUAAAAGAUAUAAGUGAAGCACUAGAGUAAAACUAUAAAGCUCAAAAGAUAUAAGUGAAGACAUAGAGUAUUCUAUCAAAUUCCAAAUCAUGUAUGGCUCUCUCAAAAGGUGUGUACAGCAAGGAUGAUUGUGUUAGAAUAACAAGCAAAGACUCAAAUCAUAAAAGACGCUCCAAGCAAAACACAUAUCAUGUGGUGAAUAAAAAUAUAGCUCCAAGUAAAGUUACCGAUAGAAGUAGACGAAAAAGAGGGGAUGCCUUCCGGGGCAUCCCCAAGCUUUGGAUUUUCAGUGUCCUUAGAUUAUCUUGGGGGAGCCAUGGGAAUCCCCAAGCUUACGCUCUUGCCACUCCUUGUUCCAUAAUCCAUCAAAUCUUUUACCCAAAACUUGAAAACUUCACAACACAAAACUUAAGGUAGAAAACUCGUGAGCUCCGUUAGCAAAAGAAAAAAAAAGACCACUUCAAGGUACUGUAAUGAACUCAUUAUUUAUUUACAUUGGUGUUAAACCUACUAUAUUCCAACUUCUCUAUGGAUUAUAAACUAUUUUACUAGCCAUAGAUUCAUCAAAAUAAGCAAACAACACAGAAAAAUAGAAUCUGUCAAAAACAGAACAGUCUGUAGUAAUCUGUAGCUAGCGCAAGAUCUGGAACCCCAAAAAUUCUAAAACAAAUUGCCGGACGUGAGAAAUUUAGCUAUUAAUCAUCUUCAAAAAGAAUUGACUAAAUAGCACUUUCCAAAUAAAAAUGACAGCAGUUCUCGUGAGCACUAAAGUUUCUGUUUCUUACAGUAAGUUCAACAAGACUUUCCCCAAGUCUUCCCAACGGUUCUACUUGGCACAAACACUAAUUAAACACAAAAAACACAAACAAAACAGAGGCUAAAUAAUUUAUUUAUUACUAAACAGGAGCAAAAAGUCAAGGAAUAAAAAUAAAAUCGGGUUGCCUCCCAACAAGCGCUAUUGUUUAACGCCCCUAGCUAGGCAUAACAAGCAAGAAUAGAUCUAGGUAUUGCCAUCUUUGGUAGGCAAUCCAUAAGUGGCUCUCAUGAUAGAUUCAUAAGGUAAUUUUAUUUUAUUUCUAGGAAAGUGUUCCAUGCCCUUUUUUAAUGGAAAUUGAAAUCUAAUAUUCCCUUCCUUCGUAUCAAUAAUUGCACCAACCGUUCUAAGGAAAGGUCUACCGAGAAUAAUAGGGCAAGAAGGAUUGCAAUCUAUAUCAAGAACGAUAAAUUCUACAGGCACAUAAUUCCUAUUUGCAACAAUAAUAACAUCAUUAAUUCUUCCCAUAGGUUUCUUAAUAGUGGAAUCCGCAAGAUGUAAGUUUAGAGAGCAAUCAUCAAAAUCACGGAAAUCUAGCAAAUCACACAAAGUUUUGGGAAUAGUAGAGACACUAGCACCCAAAUCACACAAAGCAUAGAACUCAUAAUUUUUAAUUUUAAUUCUAAUAGUAGGUUCCCACUCAUCAUAAAGUUUUCUAGGGAUAGAAACUUCCAAUUCAAGUUUUUCUUCAUAAGAUUGCAUCAAGGCAUCAACGAUAUGUUUAGUAAACACUUUAUUUUGACUAUAAGCGGGAGGAGAUUUUAGCACAGAUUGCAACAAGGAAAUACAAUCAGUUAAAGAGCAAUUUUCAUAAUUCAAUUCCUUGAAAUCCAAUAUAGUGGGUUUAGCAACAUCUAGGGUUUUAAUUUCUUCAAUCCCACUUUUAUCAAAUUUAGCAUCAAGAUCAACAAAUUCCGAAUUCUUAGAACGCCUUCUAGGUAAAGGUGGAUCAUAUUCAGUCCCAUCAUUAUCAAGAUUCAUAUUGCAAAACAAAGAUUUAAUAGGGGACACAUCAAUAACUUUUAGAUCUUCAUCAUUAUUUUCAUAGGAACUAGAAGAACACGCUUUUAUAAAGGCAUCUUUCUUAGCACACAUCCUAGUGGUUCUUUCUUUGCACUCGUCAAUGGAAAUUCUCAUGGCUUUGAGAGACUAAUUGAUAUCAUGCUUAGGUGGAAUAGAUCUAAGUUUCAAAGAAUCAACAUCAAGAGCAAUUCUAUCAACGUUCCUAGCCAAAUCAUCAAUCUUAAGCAUUUUUCUUCAAUCAUAGCAUUAAAGUUCUUUUGCGAAGAAAUAAAUUCUUUAAUAUUAGAUUCAAAAUCAGAGGGCAUCUUAUUAUAAUUUCCAUAAGAAUUGUUGUAGGAAUUACCAUAAUUAUUAGAGGGAUUACUAGGAUAAGGCCUAGGAUUGAAAUUUCAUCUAUACGCGUUGUUACCAAAAUUAUUCCUACCAACAAAAUUCACAUCCAUAGAUUCAUUAUUAUUGUCAAUCAAAGUAGACAAAGGCAUAUCAUUAGGAUCAGAUGAAACACUCUUAGUAGCAAAUAAUUUCAUAAGUUCAUCCAUCUUUCCACUCAAAACAUUAAUUUCUUCUAUCGCAUGCACUUUUUUAUUAGUGGAUCUUUCAGUGUGCCAUUGAGAAUAAUUAACCAUAAUAUUAUCUAGGAGUUUAGUAGCUUCUCCUAAAGUGAUUUCCAUAAAAGUGCCUCCCGCGGCCGAAUCUAAAAGAUUUCUAGAAGCAAAAUUCAAUCCGGCAUAAAAAAUUUGUAUAAUCAUCAACAAAUUCAAACCAUGAGUAGGGCAAUUACGUAUCAUUAAUUUCAUUCUCUCCCAAGCUUGUGCAACAUGUUCAUGAUCAAGUUGUUUAAAAUUCAUAAUAUCGUUUCUAAGAGAGAUGAUCUUAGCGGGAGGAAAAUACUUAGAGAUAAAAGCAUCUUUGCACUUGUUCCAUGAAUCAAUACUAUUUUUAGGCAAAGAUGAAAACCAAGCUUUAGCACGAUCUCUAAGCGAAAAAGGAAAUAGCUUCAAUUUAACAAUAUCAGUAUCGACAUAUUUCUUCUUUUGCAUAUCACACAAAUCAACGAAGCUAUUAAGAUGGGUAGCGGCAUCUUCACUAGGAAGGCCGGAGAAUGGAUCUUUCAUGACAAGAUUCAGCAAAGCAGUAUUAAUUUCACAAGAUUCAGCAUCGGUAAGAGGAGCAAUCGGAGUGCUAAGGAAAUCAUUAUUGUUGGUAUUGGUGAAGUCACACAAUUUAGUAUUAUCUUGAUCCAUCGUGACAAACAAGCAAACCAACACACGAGCAAACAAAAGGCAAACGGGCAAAAAGAGGCAAAUAGAGAAAGAGAGGGAGGAUAGAGAGAGAGGGCGAAUAAAACGGCAAGGGUGAAGUGGGGGAGAGGAAAACGAGAGGCAAAUGGCAAAUAAUGUAAUGCAGGAGACAGGGAUUGUGAUGGGUACUUGGGAUGUUGACUUUUGCAUAGACUACCCGGCAACGGCGCCUGUCGGUGUACUAGAGUAGGGGUACCCUAGUAUCCCGAACUUGUGCACGGGCAGUCGUAGCAUCCCGCGGCAAGCUUGCCGGGUGACCGCCAAGGUCCUCCAUGGUUCCUUUGGAGCCAUUCAAGGACAAAGUAUCCAAGCCAAGGAGACAAGACCCCGGCAAGAGGAGCUUGCCGGGAAGGCCAACCAAGGCAUGACAAAGUAUCCAAGCUAAGGAGACAAGACCCCGGCAAGAGGAGCUUGCCGGGAAGGCCAACCAAGGCAUCUCAAGGAACUUGCCGCGACGCGCCACGCAUCUCGACAAGGCCCGGUGAGCGAAAAGCUCCCGGACGCGACAAGACAACGACCGCGGCAAGGCGCUUGCCGCGGCAAGCCACCACUCUGUGCCCGCGCUCCAACACAUCCACCAACGUGUCGCUCUGGAACCCUUCCAGGCGUACGUGGCGGGAGGCUGUGCAGCCAGCGGUGAGCGAUGGCAAGCGGCACUGACAAGAUAGCCAUCAUGGCGAGCGGUGGCGUCCCUGACGGUCCCUUUUUGCACUAUUUAGGCGACACAGACGGGCAUUUAAUGCCCUUGUCUCCUGCCGUCAGGGUUAGGUAUGAUACACUGUAGCGGGUAGCUGUACCAACCGCAACACCUUUCCAUUUUUACCAUUGUCUACGUUGCCACCUGUCGGUGACCCCUUGAGCAUAUAAAAGGAGGCCCAUGCGCAACGUAGGAGAAGGAGGAAGAAAACACUCAGGCUCGGUCUCGUUAGCUGCUGGGGUGUACUGUAGCACUCCACGCUCCCGAGCAAGAACUCAAUACAAACCACAAAGCAGGAGUAGGGUUUUACGCAUCCGUGCGGCCCGAACCUGGGUAAACGGCUCGUGUGCUUCGCCUCGAUCCGCUCUUCGUGCGACCCUCGCCCCCGCCGAACCGAAAGGGACUCGGUCCUCCGGUCCCAUAGGUGCUCGUGGAUUAGUCCCCCGGCAUCUUUGGCGCGCCAGGUAGGGGAGUCGAGGUUGUGUGAACCAGAUCCGACGUUCACACGAGCUAGAUCUUCAUCAUAUUCAUCGACAUGCCGCCGAAGAAAAAGGCUUCGGAGGCGGCUGCUCCGUCCGCGCCGAACCCACCACCGCUGGAGCAAACAGCUGAUGGGGCAGACGCCGACGGAAGAACGGGCGUCGACGAGGGAGCUCACGGUGCUGCCAGGUCCAAGGACAAGGCUGCGCUGCCCAUCAGCGGCGUAGCCGGCUCCCACAACGACCAGGCACACUCCAAAACCUCGGCGUCCGUACAUGCACCGCGCCCAUCUCAAGAGGCGCGGGACCGGCAGCGUCAUGGUACUCAUGGUACCAUGCGUUUGCUGCACCAAGAUCGAGCUGGUGGAUCUCGGAGUGCUCAAGACCAGCAUGCACGCCAACAUGCUGGCACGAGCGAGGCACGGUCGCCUGGACGGGAUACUGCUCCUUCUAACAUAGUUAGAAGUCCGAGCAUAUCCCGCUCCUCGCACCGUUCGCCACCGCCACCCGCCACUCCAGCAGAAGCUUUGGCGCGAGCUCAACUACUCCUGGACUACCCUCCAACGGCAGACAAGAUCGACGACUGGAGGGCCACCAUUCAGAGUCUCAUCGGCUUCGCCAACGGCGACACUCAACGGCAGCCGAGCACAUCGCAGCCGCGGCAAGUCAGCCAGGCACGAGCCGGUGGCGACAAGACCGGUGGGGGUGCAACCACUGUGCACUCUCCGCCCCGAAGGCCAAGAUCGCCGACUCUCUGGAUCUACCUCGACAGUGACUCCACCGCGUCAUCAGAUCCACGAGCUCGUCGCGAUCAGCGCCAAGUUCUUCACGAACGACAGCAAGAAGACGCUCGUACUCGCAUCGAGCGCCGAAGAGAAGCGCGACGUCAAUCGGACCAGCGCGCUGGGCCCUCUGUCGACAUGCAUGCGCCAGGGGAACCAGGCGACUUGCCGUACGCGGUAGGUUGCCCUGCGUUUACUCGAGAGCUGCGGCAAGUCCAGUGGCCCAGCAUGAAGAAUUUCAAGCCAGACAUAGCAGAGAAGUAUGACGGCAAGUCGCAUCCGUCGGAGUUCCUCAGCAUCUACACCAUCGUGGUGCAGGCUGCCGGGGGGCGGGACGACAAGAUCCUUGCCAACUACUUCCCGCUGGUACUCAAGCCCAACGUCAGGUCCUGGCUCAUGCACUUGCCGGACGACUCCAUAUCCUCCUGGGCAGACUUAUGCCAUCAGUUUGUCGGCGCCUUUACAGGCGGCCACAAAUCCCAUGGCCAAGAGAGUGACCUUCAUCUGCUCGCCCAGAAGGAAGGAGAGCCCCUGCGCAAGUACAUUCAGAGAUUCAGCCGUGUACAACACAACAUCCCAGAUGUCCACCCUGCCGCGGUCAUCAGCGCGUUCCAUCAGAACGUGCGUAACCGCAGGAUGCGGGAGGAGAUGGCGAUGUGCAAGAUCCGAGACGUCAGUGAGCUGUAUGCCCUGGCCGACAAGUGUGCAUGUGCUGAGGAAGGUAGGAAACUCCCCGGAGAGAAUAUAGGAGCAGGAGGAUCUGACAGCAAGGAUGCUGCCCCGGCAAAGAAAAACCGGCGGCGGAACAACAGGAAGAAGAAAGGCAAAGAUGUGCUAGUCAUUGAGCAGUCCGGCAAUGAAGGUGGCGCCAAGAAAGCCAAAGCUGGUAGCUCCAGCAAGGAGAUUUCCGCAUGCACCAAUUGCCAGACUGUGGCAGUCGCCGACAAGCAGGACGGCACCGACAAGCAGUACUGCAAGAUCCACCGCACCAAGGGCCAUGACCUCCAGAGCUGCAAGAAGGUCGAGCAGCUUGUCUAGCAGCAAAAGGCUGAAUACGAGCGACGCGACAAGGAGAGGGCCCAAGGAGGCGCUGGAGAAUCCGGCAAGAAGCGCGCCGGCCGGGGAGGACGCCGUGGCAAGGCCAAGCAGUGGCAAGGAGACAGACCUCCCCGCGGCCGCGACAAGGAUGAAGAUGACGACGACGACGAAGACAUGGAUGAUGUCGAGACCAGUGAGCAGGAGUUCCAGAAAGCCACAGAGGUCUUGUGCGUUGACGGCGGUGCUUCUCUGCAUACUUCACACCGCCAACUCAAGCAGUGGGUGCGGGAAGUCAAUGCGGCGGAACCACCUGUCGAGUCACGCAAGCCUCUGAAAUGGUCCAGCACGCCUAUCAUCUUUGAUAUUGAGGACCACCCUGAUCGCACAAUUGCGGUCGGGUGCUUGCCGAUGUUGGUUUCACCAACUAUCCGCAACCUCAAGGUCACCAAGAUGCUAGUUGACGGCGGGGCCGGCUUGAACCUGAUCUCCUCCGCUGUACUCCAGAAACUCCAGAUCCCUGACAGCGAGCUUGAAGAGACCGGCACAUUCCAAGGAAUCAACCCGGGAAGGAGCAAGCCGAAGGGGAAGGUCACGUUGCCAGUAUCAUUUGGCAGCGAGGUGAACUUCAGGACUGAGAGGGUCACUUUUGACGUUGCCGAUUUUCCAUUGCCUUACAAUGGGAUACUCGGCCGUCCAGCACUCGCCAAGUUCAUGGCAGCCUCUCACUACGCAUACAACAUGCUGAAGAUGUCAGGCCCGAUAAGCGUCAUCUCUGUCCCUGGCGACAAGAAGGAUGCUCUUAUCUGCGCCGACAAGAUCUACCGGAAGCGGCAGCCGAAACAGGUCGCAAAUCACCUGCCGUUGAAGCUCCCGGGGGGAAGAAGAAGACCAAGUCCGGCAAGAGUUCUGAUGCCCACUCCGGCAAGCGCACCUCUUCGGAGUGCUGCGCUGCCGUCGAGGACGCACCACCGAGCUCCACCGGCAAGUGUAAGAAGACAAUGGCAGCUCCGCCAGAGACCAAGAAGGUGUCCGCCAAGGAGGACGGCACUGGUGGUACUUUCACCAUCAGUGCCACUCUCGACCCUAAAUAGGAAAGCGCGCUCAUUGCUUUCCUGCGGGCGAACGUCGACGUGUUUGCGUGGCAACCGUCUGACAUCCCCGGUGUUCCCAGGAAAGUAAUUGAGCACCAUCUUGCCGUUUGUCCUCAUGCGCGGACCGUCAAGCAGAAGGUUAGGAAGCAAGCAGUGGAGCGCCAAGAAUUCAUCGCAGAAGAGAUCAAGAAGUUGGAAGCAGCAGGCCUUAUCAGAGGAGUGCUCCAACCAACGUGGUUGGCCAAUCCUGUAGUCGUGCGCAAGGCGAACGGGAAAUGGAGACUUUGUAUCGACUUUACCGAUGUUAACAAAGCUUGUCCCAAAGACCCAUUUCCUUUGCCGCGCAUUGACCAGAUUGUUGACUCCACGGCCAGAUGUGACUUGCUUUCAUUUCUUGACGCAUACUCAAGAUACCAUCAGAUCUUCAUGGCAAAAGAGGAUGAGGAGAAGACCGCAUUCAUCACUCCAUGUGGCACGUACUGUUUCAUACGGAUGCCUUUCGGUUUAAAAAAUGCUGGUUCAACAUUUGCAAGGGUAGUCCAUGUCACUCUUGAGCCACAAAUACACAGAAAUGUGGAAGCCUACAUGGAUGACAUAGUGGUCAAGAGCAAGGACAAGGCAACUCUGAUUCAAGAUUUAGAUGAGACCUUUGCAAAUCUGCGCAAGAUCAGCUUCAAGCUCAACCCCGAGAAGUGUGUGUUUGGAGUCUCCUCCAGCAAGCUUCUCGGGUUCUUCGUGUCUCAGCGAGGAAUCGAAGCCAAUCCCGACAAGAUCAAGGCCAUUGAGCAGAUUGAAGCACCAAAGCGCGUCAAGGAUGUACAAAGACUUGCCGGUUGCGUGGCUGCUCUGAGUAGGUUUAUCUCUAGGUCUGCUGAGCGCGCCCUGUCGUUUUUCAAAAUAUUAAAGAAGGCAGGUCCAAUGAAAUGGACUCCGAAAGCGGAGGCUGCACUGCAAGACUUGAAGAGAUACCUGUCCUCCGCUCCAACACUUGUCGCACCUAAGCCACAAGAGAAGUUGCUGCUGUAUAUAGCGGCAACCAAUCAAGUGGUUAGUGCUGCGUUAGUAGCAGAUAGGGAGGCAGAUGACGAGCCAGAAACCACGGCAGGCGCAUCCAGCGACAAGCAGGGGGCUUCCCCGACAAGCUCUGGUCCUGACAAGGAUGGAUCUGCGCAGACGCACGAGGAGAUACAUAAGAGAAUGGUACAGCGCCCAGUUUACUUUGUCAGUUCCCUUCUGCAGGGGGCUAGGUCAAGGUACUCUGGCGUGCAGAAAUUUCUUUUCGGCCUUCUCAUGGCCUCGAGAAAGCUGCGCCAUUACUUCCAAGCACAUGAGAUCACAGUUGUCACUCGUUUUCCGCUAAAGAGGAUACUACAGAAUCCAGAAGCGACAGGCAGGAUUGUUGAGUGGGCACUGGAACUGUCAAGCUUUGGCCUCAAGUUUGAGAGUACUUCAACUAUCCAAAGCAGAGCAUUGGCAGAAUUCAUAGCAGAAUGGAUGCCAACACCAGAUGAAGAAAUUCCAGAAACGAGCAUUCCCGUCGAGGAAGCAAGCAAAGAGUGGCUGAUGUACUUUGAUGGUGCCUUUUCGCUGCAAGGCGCCGGCGCUGGCGUGCUGCUUGUCGCACCCACCGGAGAGCACCUCAAAUACAUAGUCCAGAUGCACUUUCCCAAGGAGCAAGCAACAAACAAUACUGCAGAGUAUGAAGGCUUGCUUGCCGGUCUCAGGAUCGCGGCAGACCUUGGGAUCAAGAAGCUCAUUGUCAGGGGUGACUCGCAGCUUGUCGUCCGCCAAGUGAACAAGAGCUAUCAGAGUCCGUUGAUGGAAGCCUACGUCGACGAAGUGAGAAAGCUAGAAGAGCACUUUGACGGCCUACAGAUGGAACAUGUUCCAAGAGCUCAGAACGCCAUUGCCGAUGGCCUAUCAAAGUGCGCCGCACUUAAGUUACCUGUGGAACCAGGGAUCUUUGUGCUCAAGCUGACUCAACCGUCUGUAACACCAUCAACUGGACAGAGCAAGAAGAGGAAGUUGAUUUCUGGUGACUAUUUUCCGGCAGAGCUUCCCGAAGCCGCCGCCAAGAAGGUCCCCAAGAUCAAUGCCAAGAGCGUUGAGGAGCAGUCUGCUCCGGCAAGCCCUAGGGUUUGUUCCGUUGAAGCAGAAGCUCCCGACAAGUUUUGCUCCGGCAAGCUUGCCGGGGAACGUCAAGCUCCGGCAGAGCCGUAGGUGCUCGCCGUAGAAGCAGAUGUUCCCGCAGUAGCAGAUUUGCCUUUAGUCCUUGUUGUCGAGCCACAAGCUCCAGCAUGGGCACAGCAGAUUGUCCAUUUCCUUCAAACAGGAGAACUUCCCGAAGAGCAAGAAGAAGCGGAAAGAGUAGCCCGGCAGUCAAGUAUGUACUAGUUUGUCGACAACACACUAUACAGAAGAAGACUCAACGGUGUGAAAUUGAAGUGUAUUCACCGGGAAGAUGGACAAAAGCUGUUGGCAGAGAUACAUGGAGGCAUAUGUGGUCACCACAUUGGCGCAAGAGCACUUGCCGGCAAAGCAUUCCGGCAAGGUUUCUUUUGGCUGACAGCCCUCCAGGAUGCAACUGCACAAGUAACCAAGUGUGAAGCGUGCCAGUUCCAUUCCAAGCAGAUACACCAACCAGCUCAAGCUCUCCAGACGAUCCCUUUAUCCUGGCCAUUUUCGGUCUGGGGGCUCGACAUCCUCGGCCCUUUUCCCCGAGCAGUCGGGGGCUUUGAGUACUUGUACAUUGCAAUCGAAAAGUUCACAAAGUGGCCGGAAGUGGAAGCAGUGAGGAAGGUGACAGCACAGUCAGCAGUCAAGUUCUUCAGGUCGAUUGUCUGCCGCUUCGGGAUCCCUAACAGGAUAAUCACCAACAACGGUACGCAAUUCAUGAGCCGCACCUUCAUGCAGUACGUCCAAGAUCUUGGCACCAAGGUCUGCUUCGCUUAUGUUGCUCACCCGAGAAGCAACGGUCAAGCGGAGAGGGCAAAUGCUGAAGUGUUGCGUGGGCUCAAGACCAGGACUUUCGAUAGGCUGCACAAGUGCGGAAGAAACUGGAUCGAGGAGCUGCCGGUGGUUCUUUGGUCGAUCAGGACGACGCCAAAUCGAGCCACUGGCCAGACACCUUUCGCUCUAGUCUAUGGAGCAGAGGCAGUUCUCCCCACGGAACUCCUAUACGGGUCACCUCGAGUGCUCACUUAUGAUGAGCUUGAGCAAGAGCAGCUGCGACAAGAUGACACGCUACUCCUUGAGGAAGACCGUCUUCAGGCUGCUGUACGAGCUGCUCGCUACCAGCAAGCUUUGUGCCGCUACCAUAGCCGCAAAGUUAACGCCAGAAGUCUCGAGGAAGGCGACCUUGUUCUUCGGCGUGUUCAGUCCGCCAAGAGUUCCAAUAAGUUGACGCCGAAGUGGGAAGGCCCUUACCGGGUGAAACGAGUCACUAGGCCUGGCGCAGUCCGCCUUGAGACCGAAGAUAGCAUUCCGGUGAGCAAUUCCUGGAACAUUGAGCAUCUUCGUAAGUUUUACCCGUAAGGCGCGGUUGCCGGAACCUGUUCCGGCAACCACCUUUUGUACAAGUCUUGCCGCUGUUGCAUGUAAUCCUUUGUACAAAGCCGGGCGCAGACCCCAUGCAUAAGUAAAGCUCAUAUGCUCCAUGCAUCUUGUUAAUUUCAUGCUUUCUACUUUUUGCAUAUGUGAUCUGACACUUUGUGCAACAUCUACUCCCCGGUAAGCAAUAACGAGCCAUAAGGCUCCAUAUCUUUAUUUUCUCCUCUUUCUUUUUUCUCAAGGAAAGGAAGGUUCCCUCGCCCACAAGUUUGCCGGGGGGAAAGGAGAAGAUAAUGGUAUGGACCAGGCGUCGUUCAAGAAAGUUUUGCCUUACCGGAAAGCAAACAAUAGAAAAGCUAAGUUGCCAAAGUUUGAGCAAUCAGAUUUUUUAAAUUUUUAAGUUAUCUCCCUUGAACGACCGCACUUUGUAUGGAAAACCUGUGCGCGGAGGAACCAACUCGUAGCUAGUUGCGCCCUUACUUUGUUUCGAGUCCGCUCAACAACUUAAGUGAGCUGCAACUAGUUGCGACAAGGUUUCUUGUCGGUAGAGGCACCGCCAGCAGGCUGCUGACGUCCCGCACUCGGCGCUCGCGGCUAAGGUGCCUGCACUGGCAAGUUCCCUAAAAGCGUAGGGCAAAAACAUACAAAGGGAGGAAUCAAGUAAAGGGAAUAACAUUGCAAUCAUUACCCGGAAUAGAGUUAUAUUACAAGAUAGCUUGUCGCGGCUCUAACAGAUUGUUCUCAUAACAUGACCAGCAGCGACAAGAAAAGAAGAAAACGGGCGGCCUAGUCUACGCGAUCGCCCUCAAUCCUCUUGAUCCCGCUCACCUUGUCCACAAUGGGUGCGACAAGGGUCUUGAGCGCCUCCAGAUCAGCAUCCGGCGGCAGGGUCUUGAGGACGUUGGUGAGGUUGAGGCCCGGGUUGCGGAAGGCCACCUUCACCAACACCUUUUGAAGAGCUCCGGCGCAGAUUUUGCGCGACUCGUCGGCCAGCUGCUUUGGGAUCUUCCCCCGGAGCCGCUGGAGGGCCGUCGCCACACCUUUGAAGAACAAGGUGAGCUUGGCGCUGGGUUGGAGGUUCUCAUCAGAGGGAUGCCCAAGAUCCCCCACCCCCAGCUGCGCCAGCUCCCUGUCAAUAUCUGCGGCAGCACUCACGAGACUCUCCGUCCAGUGCUCCACAUUCUCCCUAAAAGCAUUCUGGGCGGCGGCAGCACUCGCCAGCAGCGCCUUGUCGGCCUUGAUAUCCUCCUUCAAGGCCACCUCCUGCUCCCUGGCGCCGUCCAGUGUCUUGGUUAAAGUGGUCAGCUUCAACUCAAGAUCUGCGUUGGAGUCCUUGGCGGCGCUGAGCUCCUUGCCCUUCUCAGCGAGACGAGCCUGCAGCUCUGAAUGGCUGUAGGCGUCCUUCUCCCGCUCACGCUUGAGCGCGGCAAGCUCCUCACCGCUCGCCUUGAGAUCGGCCUCCAGCUGCGCCACCUUCGUCUCCAGCUCCUUCUUGGCGGCCUCGGCGGCUGUGGCAGCAUCCUCCGCUUGCUUGAGGGCUCCGCCGAAUGUUCGCUCGCGCACGGCAAGCUCCUCCUCGUGGGCGUCAAGGUUGACCUUCCGCUGCACCAGCUCGCCCUCCUGCGUAGACAGCUUUUCAGCGGCAAGCCGCCGUUGCUCUUCGACUUCAGCCUUCUCGAGGAAGAAGGCCUUCUGCUCUUCGGCGAGUUGCUCCCGCUCCUCUGCCAGGGACCGGAGAGCUUCCUGGUUGAGGCCCCGGAGCUCCUCCGCGCGCUUCUCGAUGUCCGCUCCCGCCUUCACGACAAGCGCCUCACGGGAUUCCAGCUUGGCUUGCCGCGCGCGGUAGAGCGACAACAGCUUCCGCAGCAGCCGCUCCUUCUCAGGCUCGCCGCUACUGCUGCUCGGCGCAUCAACUAGCGUCAGCCCAGCGGAGGCGAGCACCUCUCCAUCAAAGCUCUCUCCCUCGACCGGCGCCCUGGAGCUUGACGCCCAGGGGAGGUUGAUGAAGACGCCAUCACCGGCCUUCAAGUAGACGCCUGGCUGGGGCUCUUCGGAGCCUGGCGCUGCGGCAGCGGCGGACGGGUCGGCGGUCGACGUAGCGCCUGGCGCUCCUACGGCCUCAGGGCCGUCAGUACGAUCGCCAGACCCCUCACCAGCUGCUGCGGCGGCAGCUUUGGCGGCCUCGUCGCCGGCGGGAUCAUCAGCGCCGGCUGCUUCUCCAGUGGCAGCAACAUUGUCGGCAGCAACCUCAGUCUCCAUUGGCUCCGCAGCAGAUGGGUCUGAUGGCCGGAAAAGUGAGAAAAGUCAAGCAAAUAUCCAAAAAGAAGAAUAUCAAAAGAAGAAGAACCCAAGGGAAGUUUUGAAGCGAGAGGAUUACCUGUACCGGGUUCUGCAGUCGUGGUCUCCGCCGCUGGAGGGCCGCUGGUGCUGUCCCUUGCCGGAGAACUCUCCCUUGCCGGAGACUUCUCCCUUGCCGGAGAACUCUCCCUUGCCGGAGGACUCUCCCUUGGCAUUUCGGGGGAGGCCUCCGGGCACUCCUGGUGGGGCUGCUCUGCUCCUACACAAACCAACAGUCAGAUGUCAGCAAAGAAAGAGUGUCCAUGCGCGCCUAACAGCGGAAAGUGAACCAUAUCCUUACGCUGGGGGCUGCUCUGGAGAACAGUUGCCGGGUCCGGCAAGGUUGUCUCGGACGCACCCCCUGUUGUCACUGUGGGUUCGUCCUCGAUGAUAAUCACCGGGACCUUGGCCCUCUUCGCUGCUCUCUGGGCCAGAGUCCUAAAAAGGAAUAAGUCCAGAGUAAAGCAAAUGAGAUACAAAACAAAACAACAAGAAUUGAAGAACUACAAGUACAACAAGAGAAUCUUACUCUUCUUUUUCCUCGUCAGAGCUGAACACGGAGAAGUCAAAGUCCGGCUCACGUCCGGCGCGAGGAGGCGGAGGAGUAGUUUCCCUUGGCCGCUUGGCGGGAACAGUGGCGGUGGUCUGAGAUGACCCCGCUCCGGCUGCCGCCGCGGCGUGAGAAGCGGCAGGAGCAGAAGCGGUGGUCCGGGUGGACCCCGCUCCAGUUGCCGCAGCAGCGUGAGGUGCUCCCGCGGCAACAGUGCUUGCCGCGGUGGAGCGUGUCGUGCGGCGCGGCAGCUGUUGACUCGCCCGCCGCUCCGCUAUGUCCCCGGCCUUGCGGAGAUGCCUUCUUGGUGGGGAUGGAGGCUCUACUUGCGGCGAGCCGCCUGAAGAUGAGGAGGAAGAGGAGUUGAUCUCCAGCGAGCUGCUCGUAUCCUCGGCGGGCUCGUUCGACUCGACACCAUGCCCGGCAAGUUCUUUCUCACCGACGGGCUCCUCUCGCUCGACACGGCUUGCCGCCUCUGCUGCAUCUGCCUCCUCCAAGGUGAAUCCAAAUUCGCCCGCGGCUGCGGCUGCCGCCGCCUCUUCCAGCCUAGUGGCGAUGCGUGUCAUCUCCGCAUCAGUGGUGUCGCGGGUGAGGCUAUCCUUUUCGUCGGAGCGGACCGGCACUUCUACCAAGCCGUCAAAAAACUCCUGCACGACGUUGUCUGCAGGCUCUUGCCAAGUUGGGGCAAUUCCAUGCGAAUCGCACAGCGGCAUCAUUGCACGGAUGCGGUCGAGCGCGGAGUUGUUGCACAGCGGAACGACACCCUGCGGCAACCUAAACACUUCGGGAUGUUGAGGGUCGUACUUGAACAGCUCCUGGAGCAUCGCGUUAAGCUCCAGAAUAGUGAAGUUGAAGUUGAGGCCCGGACGCAGCCUCAUGAUAUCCGCCGCAUUCUUGAAUUCCCAGGCGGGUCUCCCCCGUUCCUGCAGGGGGGCGAUGCGGCGACGAAGAAAAUCUGCGCCAACAGCGCCUACAGUGAGCCCGGCAAGCCUGAGGCGUAGGAUCCGGGUGACGGCAAUCUUCAGCCUAUCGUCUUCCGGGGCCAUGUCACUCCAAUCGCUGUCGCGUGCUACUGGGGCUUGGCGCCGGGCGGUAAACGGCUGCGGGUUCUCCUCGUCAAUCCAGCACCAGUCUGCUCUCCAUUCCUCCCACUUGCCGCGGAACUCUCCCUCCAGAUAAGUGUCCUUCUUGCCGGCCCUUGAGAUCCAGGCGAUUCCGCCGGAUAAAGGCUCUCCUCUCUCUACUCGGGGCAUAAAGAAGUGGCGAAAAGGGGCUACAUUGGGAUGGACUCCGACAAAGUUUUCGCAAAGAUGUGCGAAAACUGCCAUGGUCAGGACGGCAUUGGGGGUGAAGUCAAGGAGGUGGAACCCGUAGGUGUUCAUAAUAUCACAGAAAAACUCAGAGAAAGGCGGGCAGAGCCCGCAGUAGAAGAACAAGGCGAAGAAGGGAUAUCCGUUUGGGGCCGUUUUCCAAGCGGCGGCUGGAAGUACCUUCGUGCGCGGAUGCGCUCGCGUCUCCGUCGACCAGAAGAGGUAGUAAUUCUCCCUCAGCUCCCUCAUGGCGAGCUUGGGGGGGGAAGAUUGCCUGCUCCUUUCGCAGCGCCGCAAGCCGCUGCACCUCGGUCGACUUCACAACCUUCCCUUUGUCGGCUCUCGGAGCCAUGGCGGAAGUGGUGGAGGAGGUCGACGGCGUUGGUGGUGCUGGUGGCGAUGGGGGCGGGGCGCUGCUCUCUUUCAGCUUUGGGAAGACGAGGGAGCGGCGGAGAUUUCCGAGAUUGGAGUAGCAACCGGCGAAUGGGCGAACUACCCCUGUUUCCCCUGCUUAUAAAGAGGGAGGGGCGGACGUUCCGCCUUUCCGAAUAAAGAAACCACCCACGAUCUCUCCCAUGAUGCCGCAUUCAACGCGUGCCGUUCGAGGAGGGCGCGGUGGAUACGGGGAGAGAUACGGCGUAACCCAGGCCACGCGUGCCCGUGCCCUGUUUUGGGCCUGGCCCAACAGCGCUCGGCACCGUGUAUGGCCCAAGCCCGGGGGCUCCUGUCGGUGUACUAGAGUGGGGUACCCUAGUAUCCCGAACUUGUGCACGGGCAGUCGCAGCAUCCCGCGGCAAGGCUUGCCGGGUGACCGCCAAGGUCCUCCAUGGUUCCUUUGGAGCCAUUCAAGGACAAAGUAUCCAAGCCAAGGAGACAAGACCCCGUCAAGAGGAGCUUGCCGGGAAGGCCAACCAAGGCAUGACAAAGUAUCCAAGCUAACGAGACAAGACCCCGGCAAGAGGAGCUUGCCGGGAAGGCCAACCAAGGCAUCUCAAGGAACUUGCCGCGAUGCGCCACGCGUCCCGGCAAGGCCCGGUGAGCGACAAGCUCCCGGACGCGACAAGACAACGACCGCGGCAAGGCGCUUGCCGCGGCAAGCCACCACUCUGUGCCCGCGCUCCAACACAUCCACCAACGUGUCGCUCUGGGACCCUUCCAGGCGUACGUGGCGGGAGGCUGUGCAGCCAGCGGUGAGCGGUGGCAAGCGGCGCUGACAAGAUAGACAUCAUGGCGAGCGGUGGCGUCCCUGACGGUCCCUUUUUGCACUAUUUAGGCGACGCAGACGGGCAUUUAAUGCCCUUGUCUCCUGCCGUCAGGGUUAGGUAUGAUACACUGUAGCGGGUAGCUGUACCAACUGCAACACCUUUCCAUUUUUACCCUUGUCUACGUUGCCACCUGUCGGUGACCCCUUGAGCAUAUAAAAGGAGGCCCAUGCGCAACGUAGGAGAAGGAGGAAGAAAACACUCAGGCUCGGUCUCGUUAGCUGCUGGGGUGUACUGUAGCACUCCGCGCUCCCGAGCAAGAACUCAAUACAAACCACAAAGCAGGAGUAGGGUUUUACGCAUCCGUGCGGCCCGAACCUGGGUAAACGGCUCGUGUGCUUCGCCUCGAUCCGCUCUUCGUGCGACCCUCGCCCCCGCUGAACCGAAAGGGACUCGGUCCGCCGGUCCCAUAGGUGCUCGUGGAUUAGUCCCCCGGCAGGGCCAGAAAUUCUUCUUGCUACCUCUUGAGCACUGUGUUGGAUUUCCCCGAAGAGGAGAGGAUGAUGCAGCAAAGUAGCGUAAGUAUUUCCCUCAGUUUUUGAGAACCAAGGUAUCAAUCCAGUAGGAGGCUAUGCUCGAGUCCCUCGUACCUACACAAAAACAAUAGCUCAAUGCAACCAACGCGCUUAGGGGUUGUCAAUCCCUUCACGGUCACUUACAAAAGUGAGAUCUGAUAGAGAUGAUAAAUAAUAUUUUUGGUAUAAAGAUGCAAAGUAAAAAGUAAAAGCAAAGUAAAAGCAAAGCAAUAAUAAAGUGAUGGAGAUUAAUAUGAUGAGAGAAAGACCCGGGGGCCAUAGGUUUCACUAGUGGCUUCUCUCAGGAGCAUAAGUAUUCUAUGUGGGUGAACAAAUUACUGUUGAGCAAUUGACAGAAUUGAGCAUAGUUAUGAGAAUAUCUAGGUAUGAUCAUGUAUAUAGGCAUCACGUUCGAGACAAGUAGACCAAAACGAUUCUGCAUCUACUACUAUUACUCCACUCAUCGAUCGCUAUCUAGCAUGCAUCUAGAGUAUUAAGUUAAAAGCAGAGUAACGCCUUAAGAAAGAUGACAUGAUGUAGAGGGAUAGUUUCAUGCAAUAUGAUAAAAAAAACCAUCUUGUUAUCCUCGAUGGCAACGAUACAAUACGUGCCUUUCUGCCCCUUCUGUCAUUGGUAAAGGACACCACAAGAUCGAACCCAAAGCUAAGCACUUCUCCCAUGGCAAGAAAAACCAAUCUAGUAGGCCAAACCAAACUGAUAAUUCGAAGAGACUUGCAAAGAUAACCAAUCAUACAUAAAAGAAUUCAGAGAAGAUUCAAAUAUUAUUCAUAGAUAGACUGGAUCAUAAACCCACAAUUCAUCGGUCUCAACAAACAUACCGCAAAAAGAAGAUUACAUCGAAUAGAUCUCCACAAGAGAGGGGGAGAACAUUGUAUUGAGAUCCAAAAGGAGAGAAGAAGCCAUCUAGCUACUAACUAUGGACCCGUAGGUCUGAAGUAAACUACUCACACUUCAUCGGAGGGGCUUGGAUGAUGAUGUAGAAGCCCUCCAUGAUCGAUGCCUCCUCCGGUGGAGCUCCAAAACAAGCCCCAAGAUGGAAUCUCGUGGAUACAGAAAGUUGCGGCGGUGGAAUUAGGUUUUUGGCUCCUCUUCUGAUCGUUUGGGGAUACAUGGAUAUAUAUGGGAGGAAGAAGUACGUCGGUGGAGCUUCAAGGGGCCCAUGAGGCAGAGGUCGCGCCCUAGGGGGGCGCCCUCCACCCUCGUGGCCGCCUCGUGGCUUUCUUGACGGAGGGUCCAAGUCUCUUGGAUCUUAUCUGAUGAGAAAAUCACGUUUCCGUAGGUUUCAUUCCGUUUGGACUCCGUUUGAUAUUCUGUUUCUCUGAAACACUCAAAUAGGCAAAAAACAGCAAUUCUGGGUUGGGCCUCCGGUUAUAGGUUAGUCCCAAAAAUAAUAUAAAAGUGGAAAAAUAAAGCCCAGUAUAGUCCAAAACAGUAGAUAAUAUAGCAUGGAGCAAUCAAAAAUUAUAGAUACGUUGGAGAUGUAUCAACGACGACCUUGAGCUUGUCGUCCUGGGCAUCGACGUCGCCCCAGUCGGGCCUGCGGACCGGUGGCGCCUGCCGAACUCGGCAGAAUUCCUGUGGGUCGUCCUCCUCAAUCCAGCACCACCAGCCCCGCCAUUCUUCCCACCUCUCCUUCUGGGCGCCAUCUGGGUAUGUGGCCACAUUGGACCUCGGGAUCUAGCUGACGCAACCAGAGAUGUCGCCUCCCCCUAGAUGCGAGGGUGAAAGUAGUGGGGAAGAGCGCCGUGUUGGGGAUGACUCCGGCGAAGCCCUCACAAAGGUGGGAAAAAAGAGCCAUUCACGCCACGACAUUUGGGGUAAAAUCCAAAAGGUGGAAGACAAAUGUGUGCCUGACAUCAUUGAAGAAAUCGGAGAAAGGAGGGCUGAGGCCGCAAGAGAAGUAAUCGAUGAAAAAUGGGUACCGAUUUGGGGCGGCCUUGGCGCAGUUGGCGGGGACGACGCGCGUGACUGGAUGCCCCGUCUCCUCCCCCUCCCCCCCCCAUCUUGCACCCCCACAGGGGCUUGAAGCUGUCCCGGAGCUCGAACACGUCGACCGUCAAGGGGAAGUAGGCGAGCUUCGUCCGGUGCGCCGCCAACGCACUCUCCGGUGGCUCUGUCAUUCCGGCAUCCUUGGCCACUCCCUUGCCCUUGGUGGAUUUGGGCGCCAUGGCGGCUGGGGGAGCAAGAGACGGAAGACGACGGAGACGCAGCGGAGGCAAGAGAAAGCGAGAGCUCGAGAAGGAGGAAGGAAGGGGGCGGCGGCUCUGAGAUUGGAGAAGACGCAGGGAAGGGAGUAAAGUAAGCAGCGCGCCUGUAGUUAUUCCUUUUUUAUGGGGAAGGCGCGAGCCGCCUCCUUUCCCAUUAACUGUGAUGUGAUGCAUGCAUGCGGAAACCGCCCCGCGCAUGACCCCCACGUCACGCACGACCCUCCACGUCGCGCGUUCAACGUGGGUCGUGGGGAAGCGCAGUGGACGAGACGCUACUGCGGUAAAAUCCGCCCCACCUGCCCGCGCACCAUUCUGGGCCUAGCCCAAAAACGCAUCGCGCUUAUGUAUGGCCUAGCCCUAGGGGAUCCUGUCCGUGUACAAAAGUAGGGGCUCUCCUUUUGACCCCUUUACAUGUGCGCGAGCAGUCAAAGCCACGCGCCGCGGCCACACUUAGCAGGGCAGAGGAGGGAAGCCGGAGAGAAGCCGAAGCACCAAGGCAAACAAGACAAUGCCAAGGCCGAGAGCACAAAGAGCAGAGGGACGAGGAAGGUUCCCCGGCAAGACCCUUGCCGGGGCAGCCUCAGCGGCCCCGACAAGACCCUUGCUGGGGCGGGUCACCCAACACCAACGGAGCGCGCCACCCUUGAGACCAUGGUCUCCAACACCAUCAGCCACAUUGGGCCAGGGCUCGGGAGGCACCUCCAUGGUGGCAUGCAGAUCUUUGUUAAGACAAAGAAUACUCAAGAUCAUAUGAGGACUAGAAGACGGCGACCUUCAGCGGGAUCCUAGCUGAGGAAGUCCACAAGGCCCCCGGCAAGACCGUUGCCAGGGAUGAUAGCAAGGCCCCCGGCAAGACCAUUGCCGGGGACGACAGAAACACCACGACAAGACCCUUGUCGGGCCCCCGGCAAGGCCCUUGCCGAGAGCAUCAGCAGGGCCACUGCCCGACCCGUACCAGCCAAGACUACCUCCACCAUUCGCAUGCAGCUGCCAGCCCAACCAGCUAGGCAGGCACCUGCGUGGCAACAUACAACUUCCAGGCCAAAUCAGCAGGCACCUGCGUGGCGGCGUGCGAACCUUCAUGAAGGCCCUACCACCGCACCACCUCAGUUGCUUGCCUGUCUACAUGGCACUGCAUGCAUCGCUAGCCUGGGAGCAUGUUGAAGCGAGGAGGAGUGGCGACGUGAAGGAAAUAUGCCCUAGAGGCAAUAAUAAAGUUACUAUUUAUUUCCUUAUAUCAUGAUAAAUGUUUAUUAUUCAUGCUAGAAUUGUAUUAACCGGAAACAUAAUACAUGUGUGAAUACAUAGACAAACAGAGUGUCACUAGUACACCUCUACUUGACUAGCUCGUUAAUCGAAGAUGGUUAUGUUUCCUAACCAUGAACAAAAGAAUUGUUAUUUGAUUAACGGGAUCACAUCAUUAGAAGAAUGAUGUGAUUGACAUGACCCAUUCCAUUAGCUUAGCACCCGAUCGUUUAGUACGUUGCUAUUGCUUUAUUCAUGACUUAUACAUGUUCCUAUGACUAUGAGAUUAUACAAGUCCCGUUUGCCGGAGGAACACUUUGUGUGCUACCAAACGCCACAACGUAACUGGGUGAUUAUAAAGGAUCUCUACAGGUGUCUCCAAAGGUACAUGUUGGGUUGGCAUAUUUCGAGAUUAGGAUUUGUCACUCCGAUUGUCGGAGAGGUAUCUCUGGGCCCUCUCGGUAAUGCACAUCACAUAAGCCUUGCAAGCAUUGCAACUAAUGAGUUAGUUGCGAGAUGAUGUAUUACCAAACGAGUAAAGAGACUUGCCGGUAACGAGAUUGAACUAGGUAUUGAGAUACCGACGAUCGAAUCUCGGGCAUGUAAUAUACCGAUGACAAAGGGAACAACGUAUGUUGUUAUGUGGUCUGACCGAUAAAGAUCUUCAUAGAAUAUGUGGGAGCCAAUAUGAGCAUCCAGGUUCCGCUAUUGGUUAUUGACCGGAGACGUGUCUCGGUCAUGUCUACAUUGUUCUCGAACCCGUAGGGUCCACAUGCUUAAGGUUUCGAUGACAGUUAUAUUAUGAGUUUAUGAGUUUUGAUGUACCGAAGGAGUUCGGAGUCCUGGAUGAGAUCGGGGACAUGACGAGGAGUCUCGAAAUGGUCGAGACAUAAAGAUCGAUAUAUUGGACGACUAUAUUCGGACAUCGGAAAGGUUCCGAGUGAUUCGGGUAUUUUCACCGGGGAGUUACGGAAUACGAGGAAGAAGCAAUGGGCCUUAAUGGGCCUUAGUGGAAAGGAGCAGGAGGUGGCGCGCGCCCCUCCCAAGCCCAGUCCGAAUUGGAUAAGGGGUUUGGGGCAUGGCCCCUCUCUCCCUUCCUUCCCCUCUUCCCCCCAUUCCCCCCUUCUCCUAGUUGGACUAGGAAAGGUGGAAACCUACUCCAACUAGGAGUAGGAAUCCUACUCCUCCUUGGCGCGCCCACAAGGGCCGGACGGCCUCCCCCUUGCUCCUUUAUAUACGGGGGCAGGGGGCACCCCAUAGACACACAAGUUGAUCCACAUGAUCAUAUUCUUAGCCGUGUGCGGUGCCCCCUUCCACCAUAAUCCUCGAUAAUAUUGUAGCGGUGCUUAGGCGAAGCCCUGCGAUGGUAGUACAUCAAGAUCGUCACCACGCCGUCGUGCUGACGGAACUCUUCCCCGACACUUUGCUGGAUCAGAGUCCGGGGAUCGUCAUCGAGCUGAACGUGUGCUAAAACUCGGAGGUGCCAUAGUUUCGGUGCUUGAUCGGUCGGGCCGUGAAGAUGUACGACUACAUCAACCGCGUUGUGCUAACGCUUCCGCUGUCGGUCUACAAGGGUACGUAGAUCACUCUUUCCCCUCUCGUUUCUAUGCAUCACCAUGAUCUUGCGUGUGCGUAGGAAAUUUUUGAAAUUACUAUGUUCCCCAACAGUGGCAUCCGAGCCUAGGUUUUAUGUGUUGAUGUUAUAUGCACGAGUAGAACACAAGUGAGUUAUGGGCGAUAUAAGUCAUACUGCUUACCAGCAUGUCAUACUUUGGUUCGGCGGUACUGUUGGACAAAGCGGUCCGGACCGACAUUACGCAUAUGCUUACGCGAGACCGGUUCUCCCGACGUGCUUUGCACAAAGGUGGCUAGCGGGUGACAGUUUCUCCAACUUUAGUUGAACCGAGUGUGGCUACGCCCGGUCCUUGCGAAGGUUAAAACAGCACCAACUUGACAAACUAUCGUUGUGGUUUUGAUGCGUAGGUAAGAUUGGUUCUUGCUUAAGCCCGUAGCAGCCAUGUAAAACUUGCAACAACAAAGUAGAGGACGUCUAACUUGUUUUUGCAGGGCAUGUUGUGAUGUGAUAUGGUCAAGACAUGAUGCUAAAUUUUAUUGUAUGAGAUGAUCAUGUUUUGUAACCAAGUUAUCGGCAACUGGCAGGAGCCAUAUGGUUGUCGCUUUAUUGUAUGCAAUGCAAUUGCGCUGUAAUGCUUUACUUUAUCACUAAGCGGUAGCGAUAGUCGUGCAAGCAUAAGAUUGGCGAGAUGACAACGAUGCUACGAUGGUGAUCAAGGUGUCGCACCGGUGAUGAUGGUGAUCAGGACGGUGCUUCGAAGAUGGAGAUCACAAGCACAAGAUGAUGAUGGCCAUAUCAUAUCACUUAUAUUGAUUGCAUCUCAUGUUUAUCUUUUAUGCAUCUUAUCUUGCUUUGAUUGACGGUAGCAUUUUAAGAUGAUCUCUCACUAAUUAUCAAGAAGUGUUCUCCCUGAGUAUGCACCGCUGCGAAAGUUCUUCGUGCUGAGACACCACGUGAUGAUCGGGUGUGAUAGGCUCUACGUUCAAAUACAACGGGUGCAAAACAGUUGCACACGCAGAAUACUCAGGUUAUACUUGACGAGCCAAGCAUAUACAGAUAUGGCCUCGGAACACGGAGACCGAAAGGUUGAGCGUGAAUCAUAUACUAGAUAUGAUCAACAUAGUGAUGUUCACCAAUGAAACUACUCCAUCUCACGUGAUGAUCAGACAUGGUUUAGUUGAUUUGGAUCACGUAAUCACUUAGAGGAUUAGAGGGAUGUCUAUCUAAGUGGGAGUUCUUUAGUAAUAUGAUUAAUUGAACUUGAAAUUUAUCAUGAACUUAGUCCUGCUAGUAUUUUGCAAAUUUUGUUGUAUAUCAAUAGCUCGCGUUGUUGCUUCCCUGUGUUUAUUUUGAUAUGUUCCUAGAGAAAAUUGUGUUGAAAGAUGUUAGUAGCAAUGAUGCGGAUUGGAUCCGUGAUCUGAGGUUUAUCCUCAUUGCUGCACAGAAGAAUUAUGUCCUUGAUGCACCGCUAGGUGACAGACCUAUUGCAGGAGCAGAUGCAGACAUUAUGAACGUUUGGCUAGCUCAAUAUGAUGACUACUUGAUAGUUUAGUGCACCAUGCUUAACAGCUUAGAAUCGGGACUUCAAAGACAUUUUGAACGGCAUGGACCAUAUGAGAUGUUCCAGGAGUUGAAGUUAAUAUUUCAAGCAAAUACCCGAGUUGAGAGAUAUGAAGUCUCCAACAAGUUCUAUAGCUAAAAGAUGGAGGAGAAUCGCUCAACUAGUGAGCAUGUGCUCAGAUUAUCUGGGUACUACAAUCGCUUGAAUCAAGUGGGAGUUAAUCUUCCAGAUAAAAUAGUGAUUGACAGAAUUCUCUAGUCACCAUCACCAAGUUAGUAGAACUUCGUGAUGAACUAUAAUAUGCAAGGGAUAACGGAAACGAUUCCCAAGCUCUUCGUAAUGCUGAAAUUGACGAAGGUAGAAAUCGAGAAAAACAUCAAGUGUUGAUGGUAGACAAGACCACUAGUUUCAAGAAAAGGGCAGAGGGAAGAAGGGGAACUUCAAGAAGAACAGCAAGCAAGUUGCUGCUCAAGUGAAGAAGCCCAAGUCUGGUCCUAAGCCUGAGACUAAGUGCUUCUACUGCAAAGGGACUGGUCACUGAAAGCGGAACUACCCCAAGAGAUUGGCGGAUAAGAAGGAUGGCAAAGUGAACAUAAGUAUAUUUGAUAUACAUGUUAUUGAUGUGUACUUUACUAGUGUUUAUUGCAAACCCUCGGUAUUUGAUACUAGUUCAGUUGCUAAAAUUAGUAACUUGAAACGGGAGUUGCAGAAUAAACAGAGACUAGUUAAGGGUGAAGUGACGAUGUGUGUUGGAAGUGGUUCCAAGAUUGAUAUGAUCAUCAUCGCACACUCCCUAUAAUUUCGGCAUUAGUGUUGAACCUAAAUAAGUGUUAUUUGGUGUUUGCGUUGAGCAUGAAUAUGAUUUGAUCAUGUUUAUUGUAAUACGGUUAUUCAUUUAAGUAAGAGAAUAAAUUGUUGUUCUGUUUACAUGAAUAAAACCUUAUAUGGUUACACACCCAAUGAAAAUAGUUCGUUGGAUCUCGAUCGUAGUGAUACACAUAAUCAUAAUAUUGAAACCAAAAGAUGCAAAGUUAAUAAUGAUAGUGCAACUUAUUUGUGUCACUGCCGUUUAGGUCAUGUUGGUGUAAAGCGCAUGAAGAAACUCCAUGCUGAUGGGCUUUUGGAAUCACUUGAUUAUGAAUCAGUUGAUGCUUGCGAACCAUGCCUCAUGGGCAAGAUGACUAAGACUCUGUUCUUCGGAACAAUGGAGCGAGCAACAGAUUUGUUGGAAAUCAUACAUACUGAUGUAUGUGGUAUGAUGAAUAUUGAGGCUCGUGACAGGUAUCAUUAUUUUCUGAUCUUCACAGAUGAUUUGAGCAGAUAUGAGUAUAUCUACUUGAUGAAACAUAAGUCUGAAACAUUUGAAAAGUUCAAAGAAUUUCAGAGUGAAGUGAAAAAUCAUCGUAACAAGAAAAUAAAGUUUCUACGAUCUGAACGUAGAGAAGAGUAUUUGAGUUACGAGUUAGGCCUUCAGUUAGAAACAAUGUGAAAUAGUUUCACUACUCACGCCACCUGGAACACCACAAUGUAAUGGUGUGUCCGAACGUCAUAACCGUACUUUAUUAGAUAUGGUGCGAUCUAUGAUGUCUCUUACCGAUCUACCACUAUCGUUUUGGGGUUAUGUAUUAGAGACAGCUACAUUCACAUUAAAUAGGGAACCAUCUAAAUCCGUUGAGACGACACCGUAUGAACUAUGGUUUGGCAAGAAACCUAAGCUGGCGUUUCUUAAAGUUUGAGGUUGCAAUGCUUAUGUGAAAAGAUUUCAACCUGAUAAGCUCAAACCCAAAUCGGAGAAGUGCAUCUUCAUAGGAUACCCAAAAGAAAAUGUUGGGUACACCUUCUAUCACAGAUCCGAAGGCAAGAUAUUCAUUGCUGAGAAUGGAUCCUUUCUAGAGAAGGAGUUUCUCUCGAAAGAAGUGAGUGGGAGGAAAGUAGAACUUGAUGAGGUAACUGUACCUGCUCCCUUAUUGGAAAGUAGUUCAUCACAGAAAUCUGUUCUUGUGACUACUACACCAAUUAGUAAGGAAGCUAAUGAUGAUGAUCAUGUAACUUUAGAUCAAGUUACUACCGAAUCUCGUAGGUAAACCAGAGUGAGAUCCGCACCAGAGUGGUACGGUAAUCCUAUUCUGGAAGUCUUGUUACUAGACCAUGACGAACUUGCGAACUAUGAGGAAGCAAUGAUGAGCCCAGAUUCCGCGAAAUGGCUUGAGGCCAUGAAAUCUAAGAUGAGAUCCAUGUAUGAAAACAAAGUAUGGACUUUGAUGGAUUUGCCCGAUGAUCGGCAAGCCAUAGAAAAUAAAUGGAUCUUCAAGAGGAAGACGGACGCUGAUAGUAGUGUUACUAUCUACAAAGCUAGAAUUGUCGCAAAAGGUUUUCGACAAGUUCAAGGUGUUGACUACGAUGAGAGUUUCUCACUCGUAUCUAUGCUUAAGUCUGUCCGAAUGAUGUUAGCAAUUGCCGCAUUUUAUGAAAUCUGGCAAAUGGAUAAACAAAACUGAAUUCCUUAAUGGAUUUAUUAAAGAAGAGUUGUAUACGAUGCAACUAGAAGGUUUUGUCGAUCCUAAAGGUGUUAACUAAAUGUGCAAACUCCAGCGAUCCAUCUAUGGACUGGUGCAAGCAUCUCGGAGUUGGAAUAUGCGCUUUGAUGAGAUGAUCAAAGCAUAUAGUUUUAUACAGACUUGCGGUGAAGCCUGUAUUUACAAGAAAGUGAGUGGGAGCACUACAACAUUUCUGAUAAGUAUAUGUGAAUGACAUAUUGUUGACCGGAAAUAAUGUAGAAUUAUUCUGCAAAGCAUAAAGGAGUGUUUGAAAGGAGUUUCUUUUCAAAGAAAGACCUCGGUGAAGCUGCUUACAUAUUGAGCAUCAAGAUCUAUAGAGAUAGAUCAAAAUGCUUGAUAAGUUUUUUUCAACGAGUACAUACCUUGACAAAAUUUUGAAGUAGUUCAAAAUGGAACAGUCAAAGAAAGAAUUCUUGCCUGUGUUACAAGGUCUGAAAUUGAGUAAGACUCAAAGCCCGUCCACGGCAGAAAAUAGAAAGAGAAUGAAAGUCAUUCCCUAUGCCUUGGCCAUAGGUUCUACAAAGUAUGCCAUGCUAUGUACCAAACCUAUUGUAUACCCUACACUAAUUUUGGCAAGGGAGUACAAUAGUGAUCUAGGAGUAGAUCACUGGACAGCGGUCAAAAUUAUCCUUAGUGGAAUAAGGAAAUAUUUCUCAAUUAUGGAGGUGACAAAAAGGUUCGUCGUAAAAAGUUACGUCGAUGCAAGUUUUGACACAGAUCUAGAUGACUCUAAGUCUCGAUCUAGAUACAUAUUGAAAGUGGGAGAAAUUAGCUAGAGUAGCUCUGUGCAGAGCAUUAUAGACAUAGAAUUCGCAAAAUACUUACGGAUCUGUAUGUGACAGACCCGUUGACUAAAAUUAUCUCACAAACAAAACAUGAUCACACCUUAGUACUCUUUGCGUGUUAAUCACAUAAACAAUGUGAACUAGAUUACUGACUCUAGUAAACCCUUUGGGUAUAGGUCACAUGACAAUGUGAACUAUGGGUGUUAAUCACAUGGUGAUGUGAACUAUUAGUGUUGAACCACAUGGCGAUGUGAACUAGAUUAUUGACUCUAGUGCAAGUGGGAGACUGAAGGAAAUAUGCCCUCGAGGCAAUAAUAAAGUUAUUAUUUAUUUCCUUAUAUCAUGAUAAAUGUUUAUUAUUCAUGCUAGAAUUUUAUUAACCGGAAACAUAAUACAUGUGUGAAUACAUAGACAAACAGAGUGUCACUAGUAUGCCUCUACUUGACUAGCUCAUUAAUCGAAGAUGGUUAUGUUUCCUAACCAUGAACAAAAGAGUUGUUAUUUGAUUAACGGGAUCACAUCAUUAGAAGAAUUAUGUGAUUGACAUGACCCAUUCCAUUAGCUUAGCACCCAAUCGUUUAGUAUGUUGCUAUUGCUUUCUUCAUGACUUAUACAUGUUCCUAUAACUAUGAGAUUAUGCAACUCCCAUUUGCCGGAGGAACACUUUGUGUGCUACCAAACGUCACAAUGUAACUGGGUGAUUAUAAAGGAGCUCUACAGGUGUCUCCAAAGGUACAUGUUGGGUUGGCGUAUUUCGAGAUUAGGAUUUGUCACUCCGAUUGUCGGAGAGGUAUCUCUGGGCCCUCUCGGUAAUGCACAUCACAUAAGCCUUGCAAGCAUUGCAACUAAUGAGUUAGUUGCGAGAUGAUGUAUUACCAAACGAGUAAAGAGACUUGCCGGUAACGAGAUUGAACUAGGUAUUGAGAUACCGACGAUCGAAUCUCGCGCAAGUAACAUACCGAUGACAAAGGGAACAACGUAUGUUGUUAUGCGGUCUGGCCGAUAAAGAUCUUCGUAGAAUAUGUGGGAGCCAAUAUGAGCAUCCAGGUUCCGCUAUUGGUUAUUGACCGGAGACGUGUCUCGGUCAUGUCUACAUUGUUCUCGAACCCGUAGGGUCCGCACGCUUAAGGUUUUGAUGACAGUUAUAUUAUGAGUUUAUGAGUUUUGAUGUACCGAAGGAGUUCGGAGUCCCAUAUGAGAUCGGGGACAUGACGAGGAGUCUCGAAAUGGUCGAGACAUAAAGAUCGAUAUAUUGGACGACUAUAUUCGGACAUUGGAAAGGUUCCGAGUGAUUCGGGUAUUUUCGGAGGUACCGGGGAGUUACGGAAAUACGAGGAAGAAGCAAUGGGCCUUAAUGGGCCUUAGUGGAAAGGAGCAGGAGGUGGCGCGUGCCCCUCCCAAGCCCAGUCCGAAUUGAACAAGGGGUUUGGGGCGCGGCCCCUCUCUCCCUUCCUUCCCCUCUUCCCCCCUUUCCCCUCUUCUCCUAGUUGGACUAGGAAAGGUGGAAACCUACUCCAACUAGGAGUAGGAAUCCUACUCCUCCUUGGCGCGCCCACAAGGGCCGGCCGGCCUCCCCCUUGCUCCUUUAUAUACGGGGGCAGGGGGCACCCCAUAGACACACAAGUUGAUCCACAUGAUCAUAUUCUUAGCCGUGUGCGGUGCCCCCUUCCACCAUAAUCCUCAAUAAUAUUGUAGCGGUGCUUAGGCGAAGCCCUGCGACGGUGGUACAUCAAGAUCGUCACCACGCCGUCGUGCUGACGGGACUCUUCCCCGACACUUUUUUGGAUCGGAGUCCGGGGAUUGUCAUCGAGCUGAAUGUGUGCUAAAACUCAGAGGUGCCGUAGUUUCGGUGCUUGAUCGGUCGGGCCGUGAAGAUGUACGACUACAUCAACCGCGUUGUGCUAACGCUUCCGCUGUCGGUCUACAAGGGUACGUAGAUCACACUCUCCCCUCUCGUUGCUAUGCAUCACGAUGAUCUUGCGUGUGCGUAGGAAAUUUUUGAAAUUACUAUGUUCCCCAACACGACGGUCGGGACGGGCCUCGUUCCCGUCCCCGAUAAAUCUAAGGGACACCUAAGCGAUGCAUUAAAUGUGUCUUGUCUUGUAAUACUGGUGAUAAGCUCGCAGUACUGUAGGCCUUUCCACCUCCUGUGUGCAACUGUGGCAGCCCCUUUCGACUAUAAAAGGAGGCCCAUGGCGUACUGGAAGGGGAUUCGGCUGUUUUGAACUACAUAGCGACCGUAGCUAGUUCGAAAGCCCAAGAACACUCAAUACAUCCACCAAAGCAAGACUAGGGUUUUAUGGAUCCUUGCGGCCCGAACCUGGGUAAAUGAUCUUUGUGCUAAUUGUUAAUCCUUCUCUUCUCACGACUCCGCGUCCCGGCAACCAUAGUAGGGAUUCUUGUGGUCCCAUAGGUGUCGUUUCCCACCGACAGUGGGUGAACAAAUUACUGUUUGGCAAUUGAUAAAACUUCAAAUAAUCAUGACGAUAUCCAGGCAAUGAUCAUUAUAUAGGAAUCAUGUCCAAGAUUAGUAGACCGACUCUUGCCUGCAUCUACUACUAUUACUCCACACAUCAACCGCUAUCCACCAUGCAUCCAGUGCAUUAACUUCAUGGAAAAAUGGAGUAAUGCAAUAAGAAUGAUGACAUGAUGUAGACAAGAUCUAUCUAUCUAGAGAUAGACCCCGUUGUUUUAUCCUUAGUAGCAACAAUACAUACGUGUUGGUUCCCUUUCUGUCACUGGGAUCAAGCACCGUAAGAUCAAAUCCACUACAAAGCACCUCUUCCCAUUGCAAGAUAAAUAGAUCAAGUUGGCCAAACAAAACCCAAAUAUCAGAGAAGAAAUACGAGGCUAUAAGCAAUCAUGCAUAAAAGAGAUCAAAGAAACUAAAAUACUUUCAUGGAUAUAAAAAGAUAGAUCUGAUCAUAAACUCAAAGUUCAUCGAUCCCAACAAACACAUCGCAAAAAGUGUUACAUCAUAUGGAUCUCCAAGAGACCAUUAUAUUGAGAAUUCAGCGAGAGAGAGGAAGCCAUCUAGCUACUAACUAUGGACCCGAAGGUCUACAAAGAACUACUCACGCAUCAUCGGAGAGGCACCAAUGGAGGUGGUGAACCCCAUCCGAGAUGGUGUCUAGAUUGGAUAUGGUGGUUCUGGACUAUACGGUGGCUGGAAUUGAUUUUCAUUGACUCCCCUAGGGUUUUUGGAAUAUUGGGGUAUUUAUAGAGCAAAGAGGCGGUCCGGGGGCACCCGAGGUGGGCACCACCCACCAGGGCGCGCCUGGGCCUCCUGGCGCGCCCUAGUUUGUUGUGCUCUCCUCGGAGCACCCCCAGGCGCAGCCAGGUCCCAUUAUGUGUCUUCUGGUCCAUAAAAAUUCUCCAUAAGGUUUCGUUGCAUUGGGACUCCGUUUGGUAUUGAUUUCCUGUGAUGUAAAAAACAUGCAGAAAACAACAACUAGCACUUGGCACUAUGUCAAUAGGUUAGUACCCAAAAUUGAUAUAAAAGGACUAUAAAAUGAUUAUAAAACAUCCAAGAUUGAUAAUAUAACAGCAUGGAACAAUCAAAAAUUAUAGAUACAUUGGAGACGUAUCAACCGCCCGUGAAGGCGCCAAUGAACUCAUGGCAUGAGUUAGCCCAGGCCGAAAUAGAGUUCUCCGGCAGGUGCAUCAGCCAAAACUUCACAUUUGUCUUGAGUGCCAAAGGGAAGUAGUUGGCAAACACCUUCUCAUCUCUUCCCCCGGAAGCUUGAACAUCGAUAGUGUAGAUGCUCAACAACUUUGCCGGGUUCAGUCUCCCAUCAUACUUCUCGGGUAUCUCUAGCUUGAAAGUGCGAGCAGAUGGCCAACGAACUUGCUGCAGCUCAAGACUAAAGCCAGGCCACCCAACCUCGAAAGGUAGGCACCCUCCAUCUUUGAGCGUGGGCUCAUCGACGUCGGGGCCAUCGCACCCAUUGGUCCGGCGGUGGUUGUCUUGGCGCCGCACGACGGCGACGCGCGCCUUCCCUUUGCCUGUCCUCCGGGGCCUGUUGUUGGCCUGGAUGUGCUCGAGGGUCAGAAGAGGCCAUCGAGACGUCAUCGGGUUCUUGAUUUCACGGUUCCCGUGCUGAUUGCCGUGGAGGGGACUGUACCGUGAGGGUAGCCCCUUCCGCACGGCCGGUAGUACAAGCUGUUGGGAAACAUAGCAAUAAUUCAAAAUUUUCCUACAUGUCACCAAGAUCAAUCUAUGGAGUCAUCUAGCAACGAGGGAGGAGUUCAAGAGAACAGGGAAGCGUUCAAGAGAACGGGGUUGAUGGAGUCGUACUCGUCGUGAUCCAAAUCACCGAUGAUCCUAGCGCCAAACGGACGGCACCUCCGCGUUCAACACACGUACGGAACAGCGACGUCUCCUCCUUCUUGAUCCAGCAAGGGGGGAGGAGAGGUUGAUGGAGAUCCAGCAGCACGAUGGCGUGGUGGUGGAAGUAGCGGGAUUCCAACAGGGCUUCGCCAAGCGCUGCGGGAGGAGGGAGGUGUGUCAUGGGAGGGAGAGGGAGGCGCCAGGGCUUAGGUUGGGCUGCCCUCCCUUCCCCCCACUAUAUAUAGGGCCAAGGAGAGGGGGGAGGCGCAGCCUUGGCCGUUCCUCCAAGGAAGGACGCGGCCAGGGAGGAGUCCCACCUCCCCAAGGCACCUCGGACGUGCCUUCCCCCUUUAGGACUCUUCCUUUUCUUCUUCUCUUGGCGCAUGGGCCUCUUGGGGCUGGUGCCCUUGGCCCAUAUAGGCCAAGGCGCACCCCCUACAGCCCAUGUGUCCCCCCGGGGCAGGUGGCCCCACCCGGUGGACCCCCGGGACCCUUCCGGUGGUCCCGGUACAAUAGCGGUGACCCCGAAACUUGUUCCGAUGGCCGAAAUAGCACUUCCUAUAUAUAAUUCUUUACCUCCGGACCAUUCUGGAACUCCUCGUGACGUCCGGGGUCUCAUCCGGGACUCCGAACAACUUUCGGGUUACCGCAUACUAAUAUCUCUAUAACCCUAGCGUCACCGAACCUUAAGUGUGUAGACCCUACGGGUUCGGGAGACAUGCAGACAUGACUGAGAUGACUCUCCGGUCAAUAACCAAUAGCGGGAUCUAGAUACCCAUGUUGUCCCCCACAUGUUCCAUGAUGAUCUCAUCAGAUGAACCACGAUGUCAAGGACUUUAAUCAAUCCCGUAUACAAUUCCCUUUGUCUAGUGGUACGAUACUUGCCCGAGAUUCGAUCGUCGGUAUCCCGAUACCUUGUUCAAUCUCGUUACCGGCAAGUCUCUUUACUUGUUCCGUAACACAUCAUCCCGUGAUCAACUCCUUGAUCACAUUGUGCACAUUAUGAUGAUGUCCUACCGAGUGGGCCCAGAGAUACCUCUCCGUUUACACGGAGUGACAAAUCCCAGUCUCGAUUCGUGCCAACCCAACAGACACUUUCGGAGAUACCCGUAGUGCAACUUUAUAGCCACCCAGUUACGUUGUGACGUUUGGCACACCCAAAGUAUUCCUACGGUAUCCGGGAGUUGCACAAUCUCAUGGUCUAAGGAAAUGAUACUUGACAUUAGAAAAAGCUUUAGCAUACGAACUACACGAUCUUGUGCUAUGCUUAGGAUUGGGUCUUGUCCAUCACAUCAUUCUCCUAAUGAUGUGAUCCCGUUAUCAACGACAUCCAAUGUCCAUGGUCAGGAAACUGUGACCAUCUAUUGAUCAACGAGCUAGUCAACUAGAGGCUUACUAGGGACAUGGUGUUGUCUAUGUAUCCACACAUGUAUCUGAGUUUCCUAUCAAUACAAUUCUAGCAUGGAUAAUAAACGAUUAUUAUGAACAAGGAAAUAUAAUAAUAACUAAUUUAUUAUUGCCUGUAGGGCAUAUUUCCAACAGUCUCCCACUUGCACUAGAGUCAAUAAUCCAGUUCACAUUGCUAUGUGACUAACACUCAAGGUCACAUCCCCAUGUGACUAAUACCCAAAGAGUUUACUAGAGUCAAUAAUCUAGUUCACAUUACCAUGUGAUUAACACUCGAUGAGUUCUGGGUUUGAACAUGUUAUGCUUGUGAGAGAUGUUAUAGUCAACGGGUCUGAAUCUUUCAUAUCCGUAUGUACUUCGCAAAUUUCUUAUGUCAUCUUGUAGAUGCAACUACUAUGCUAUAUUUGGAGCCAUUUCAAAUAACUGUUCUACUUGGAGCUAUUCUAAAUUGUUGCUCCAUUAUACAUAUCCGGUAUCUCUACUCAGAGCUAUCCGGAUAGGUGUUAAGCUUGCAUCGACGUAACUCUUUACGUCGAACUCUUUAUCACCUUCAUAACCGAGAAACAUAUCCUUAUUCCUCUAAGGAUAAUUUAGACCGCUAUCUGGUGAUCUACUCCUAGAUUACCUUUGUACCCUCUUGCCAGAUAUGUGGCAAGGCACACAUCAGGUGCGGUACUCAUCAUGGCAUACCGUAUAGAGCCUAUGACAAAAGCAUAGGGGACGACCUUCGUCCUUCCUCUUUCUUCUGCCGUGGUCGAGCUUUAAGUCUUAACUUCAUACCUUACAACUCAGGCAAGAACUCCUUCUUUGACUGGUCCAUCUUGAACACCUUCAAGAUCAUGUCAAGGUAUGUGCUCGUUUGAAAGUACCAUUAAGAAUUUUGAUCUAUCCUUAUAGAUCUUGAUGCUCAAUGUUCAAGGAGCUUAAUCCAGGCUUUCCAUUGAAAAAUACUUUCCUAAUAACCCUAUAUGCUUUCCAGAAAUUCUACGUCAUUUCUGAUCAACAAUAUGUCAACAACAUAUAUUCAUCAGAAAUUCUAUAGUGCUCCCACUCACUUCUUUGGAAAUACAAGUUUCUCAUAAACUUUGUAUACACCCAAAAUCUUUGAUCAUCUCAUCAAAGCAUACAUUCCAACUCCGAGAUGCUUACUCCAGUCCUUAGAUGGAUUGCUGGAGCUUUGCAUACUUAUUAGCAUCUUUCAGGAUUGAAGAAACCUUCUGGUUGUAUCACAUACAACCUUUCCUCAAGAAAAUCAUCGAGGAAACAAUGUUUUAACAUCCUAUCUGCAAGAUUUCAUAAAUAAUGCAGUAAUUGCUAAUAUAAUUCCAACAGACUCUUAGCAUCGCUACGAGUGAGAAAGUCUCAUCGUAGUCAACUCCUUGAACUUGUCGGAAAACAGCUUAACGACAAGUCGAUCUUUCUUAAUGGUGACAUUUACCAUCAUUGUCCGUCUUCCUUUUAAAAUCCAUCUGCACUCAAUAGCCUUACAACCAUCGAGCUGUUCUGCCAAAGUCUACACUUUGUUUUCAUACAUAGAUCCUCUCUCGGAUUUUAUGGCCUCGAGCCAUUUAUCGGAGUCCGGGCCCACCAUCGCUUCUCCAUAGCUCGUAGGUUCAUUGUUGUCUAGCAACAUGACUUCCAAGACAGGAUUACGUACCACUCUGAAGUAGUAUGCAUCCUUGUCAUCCCACGAUGUUUGGUAGUGACUUGAUCUGAAGUUUCAUGAUCACUAUCAUAAGCUUCCACUUCAAUUGGUGUAGGUGCCACAGGAACAACUUUCUGUGCCCUGCCACACACUAGUUGAAGAGACGGUUCAACAACCUCAUCAAGUCUCCACCAUCCUCCCACUCAAUUCUUUCGAGAGAAACUUUUCCUCGAGAAAGGACCCGAUUCUAGAAACAAUCCCUUAUUGCUUUCGGAUCUAAGACAGGAGGUAUACCCAACUAUUUUGGGUGUCCUAUGAAGAUGCAUUUAUCCGCUUUGGGUUCGAGCUUAUCAGCCUGAAACUUUUUCACAUAAGCGUCGCAGCCCCAAACUUUUAAGAAAUGACAGCUUAGGUUUCUCUAAACCAUAGUUCAUACGGUGUCAUCUCAUUGGAAUUACGUGGUGCCCUAUUUAAAGUGAAUGCGGUUGUCUCUAAUGCCUAACCCAUAAACUAUCAUGGUAAUUCGAUAAGAGACAUCAUGGUAUGCAUCAUAUCCAAUAGGGUGCAGUUAUGGUGUUCGGACACACCAUCACACUAUGGUGUUCCAGGCUGUAUUAGUUGUGAAACAAUUUCCACAAUGUCUUAAUUAUGUGCCAAACUCGUAAUUCAGAUAUUCAUCUCUAUGAUCAUAUCAUAGAUCUUUUAUCCUCUUGUCACGGCGAUCUUUCAACUUCACCCUGAAAUUACUUGAACCUUUCAAUAAUUCAGACUCAUGAUUCAUCAAGUAAAUAUACUCAACAUCUACUCAAAUCAUCUGUGAAGUAAGAACAUAACGAUAUCCACUACACGCCUCAGCACUCAUUGGACUACACACAUCAAAAUGUAUUACUUCCAACAAGUUGCUUUCUAGUUCCAUUUUACUGAAAACGAGGCUUUCAGUCAUCUUGCCCAUGUGGUAUGAUUUGCAUGUCUCAAGUGAUUCAAAAUCAAGUGAGUCCAAACGAUCCAUCUGUAUAGAGUUUCUUCAUGCAUAUCUACAAACAUGGUUCGCAUGCCUCAAACUUUUCAAAAACGAGUGAGCCCAAAGAUCCAUCAACAUGGAGCUUCUUCAUGCGUUUUAUACCAAUAUGACUUACGUGGCAGUGCCACAAGUAGGUGGUACUAUCAUUACUAUAUUUUGGCAUGAACAUGUGUAUCACUACGAUCGAGAUUCAAUAAACCAUUCAUUUUAGGUGUAAGACCAUUGAAGGUAUUAUUCAAAUAAACAGAGUAACCGUUAUUUUCCUUAAAUGAAUAACCGUAUUGCGAUAGACAUAAUCCAAUCAUGUCUAUGCUCAACGCAAACACCAAUCUCGAUGGUAUAGGGAGUGUGCGAUGCUUGAUCAUAUCAACAUUGGAAACACUUCCAACACAUAUCGUCAGCUCACCUUUAGCUAGUCUCCGUUUAUUCUGUAGCUUUUAUUUCGAGUUACUAACACUUAGCAACCAAACCGGUAUCUAAUACCCUGGUGCUACUAGGAGUACUAGUAAAGCACACAUUAUAAUGCAUAUCCAAUAUACUUCUGUCGACCUUGCCAGCCUUCUCAUCUACCAAGUAUCUAGGGUGGUUCUGCUUCAGUGACUGUUCCCCUUAUUACAGAAGCACUUAGUCUCGGGCUUGGGUUCAACUUUGGGUUUCUUCACUAGAGCAGCAGCUGAUUUGCCGUUUCAUGAAGCAUCCCUUUUUGCCCUUGCCCUUCUUGAAACUAGUGGUUUCACCAACCAUGAACAAUUGAUGCUCCUUCUUGAUCUCUACUUUUGUGGUGUCAAACAUCGCGAAUAUCUCAAGGAUCAUCAUAUAUGUCCCUGAUAUAUUAUAGUUCAUCACGAAGCUCUAGCAGCUUGGUGGUAAUGACUUCGGAGAAACAUCACUAUCUCAUUUGGAAGAUCAACUCCCACUUGAUUCAAAUGAUUGUUGUACUCAGACAAUCUGAGCACAAGCUCAACAAUUGAGCUUUUCUCCCUUAGUUUGCAGGCUAAGAAAAAUGUCAGAGGUCUUAUACCUCUUGACGUGGGCACGAGCCUGAAAUCCCAAUUUCAGUCCUUGGAACAUCUCAUAUGUUCUGCGAUGUUUCAAAAACAUCUUUGGUGCCUCAAUUCUAAACCAUUUAGCAUUACGCAUUGAACUAUCAUGUAGUCAUCAAAACGUGUAUGUCAGAUGUUCGCAACAUCCACAGACGACGUUCGAGGUUCAGCACACUGAGCGGUGCAUUAAGGACAUAAACCUUCUUUGAAGCAAUGAGGACAAACCUCAGUUUACGGACCUAGUCCGCAUAAUUACUACUAUCAACUUUCAACUAAAUUUUCUCUAGGAACAUAACUAAACAGUAGAACUGAAGUGCGAGCUACGACAUAAUUUGCGAAGACCUUUUGACUAUGUUCAGGAUAAUUAAGUUCAUCUUAUGAACUCCCACUCAGAUAGACAUCCCUCUAGUCAUCUAAGUGAUUACAUGAUCCGAGUCAACUAGGCCGUGUCCGAUCAUCACGUGAGACGGACUAGUCAACAUCAGUGAACAUCUUCAUGUUGAUCGUAUCUACCAUACGACUCAUGCUCGACCUUUCGGUCUCUUGUGUUCCGAGGCCAUGUUUUUACAUGCUAGGCUCGUCAAGUCAACCUAAGUGUUUUGCGUGUGUAAAUCUGUCUUACACCCGUUGUAUGUGAACGUUAGAAUCUAUCACACCCGAUCAUCACGUGGUGCUUCGAAACAACGAACUGUCGCAACGGUGCAUAGUUAGGGGGAACACUUUCUUGAAAUUAUUAUGAGGGAUCAUCUUAUUUACUACCGUCGUUCUAAGUAAACAAGAUGCAAAAACAUGAUAAACAUCACAUGCAAUCAAAUAGUGACAUGAUAUGGCCAAUAUCAUAUUGCUCCUUUUGAUCUCCAUCUUCGGGGCUCCAUGAUCAUCAUCGUCACCGGCAUGACACCAUGAUCUCCAUCAUCAUGAUCUCUAUCAUCGUGUCUUCAUGAAGUUGUCUCGUCAACUAUUACUUCUACUACUAUAGCUAACGGUUAGCAAUAAAGUAAAGUAAUUACAUGACGUUUAUGUUGACACGCAGGUCAUAAAUAAAUUAAGACAACUCCUAUGGCUCCUGCCGGUUGUCAUACUCAUCGACAUGCAAGUCAUGAUUCCUAUUACAAGAACAUGAUCAAUCUCAUACAUCACAUAUAUCAUUCAUCACAUCCUUUUGGCCAUAUCACAUCACAUAGCAUACCCUGCAAAAACAAGUUAGAUGUCCUCUAAUUGUUGUUUGCAUGUUUUACGUGGCUGCUAUGGGUUUCUAGCAAGAACGUUUCUUACCUACGCAAGAACCACAACGUGAUAUGCCAACUGCUAUUUACCCUUCAUAAGGACCCUUUUCAUCGAAUCCGAUCCGACUAAAGUGGGAGAGACAGACACCCGCUAGCCACCUUAUGCAACUAGUGCAUGUUCCUCGGUGGCACCAGUCUCACGUAAGAGUACGUGUAAGGUCGGUCCGGGACGCUUCAUCCCACAAUGCCACCGAAUCAAGAUAAGACUAGUAACGGCAAGCAUAUUGAACAAAAUCAACGCCCACAACUACUUUGUGUUCUACUCGUGCAUAGAAACUACGCAUAGACCUAGCUCAUGAUGCCACUGUUGGGAAAUGUAGCAAUAAUUCAAAAUUUUCCUAUGUGUCACCAAGAUCAAUCUAUGGAGUCAUCUAGCAACGAGGGAGGAAUGGAUCUACAUACCCUUGUAGAUCGUGCGCGGAAGCGUUCAAGAGAACGGGGUUGAUGGAGUCGUACUCGUCGUGAUCCAAAUCACCGAUGAUCCUAGCGCCGAACGGACGGCACCUCCGCGUUCAACACACGUACGGAAUAGCGACGUCUCCUCCUUCUUGAUCCAGAAAGGGGGGAGGAGAGGUCGAUGGAGAUCCAGCAGCACGACGGCGUGGUGGUGGAAGUAGCGGGAUUCCAACAGGGCUUCGCCAAGCGCUGCGGGAGGAGGGAGGUGUGUCAUGGGAGGGAGAGGGAGGCGCUAGGGCUUAGGUUGGGCUGCCCUCCCUUCCCCCCACUAUAUAUAGGGCCAAGGGAGAGGGGGGAGGCGCAGCCUUGGCCCUUCCUCCAAGGAAGGGUGCGGCCAGGGAGGAGUCCCACCUCCCCAAGGCACCUCGGAGGUGCCUUCCCCCUUUAGGACUCUUCCUUUUCUUCUUCUCUUGGCGCAUGGGCCUCUUGGGGCUGGUGACCUUGGCCCAUAUAGGCCAAGGCGCACCCCCUACAGUCCAUGUGGCCCCCCGGGGCAGGUGGCCCCACCCGGUGGACCCUCGGGACCCUUCCGGUGGUCCCGGUACAAUACCGGUGACCCCGAAACUUGUCUCGAUGGCCGAAAUAGCACUUCCUAUAUAUAAUUCUUUACCUCCGGACCAUUCCGUGUAAACGGAGAGGUAUCUCUGGGCCCACUCGGUAGGACAUCAUCAUAAUGUGCACAAUGUGAUCAAGGAGUUGAUCGCGGGAUGAUGUGUUACGAAACGAGUAAAGAGACUUGCCGGUAACGAGAUUGAACAAGGUAUCGGGAUACCGACGAUCGAAUCUCGGGCAAGUAUCGUACCGCUAGACAAAGGGAAUUGUAUACGGGAUUGAUUAAGUCCUUGACAUCGUGGUUCAUCCGAUGAGAUCAUCGUGGAACAUGUGGGAACCAACAUGGGUAUCCAGAUCCCGCUGUUGGUUAUUGACCGGAGAGUCAUCUUGGUCAUGUCUGCAUGUCUCCCGAACCCAUAGGGUCUACACACUUAAGGUUCGGUGACGCUAGGGUUAUAGAGAUAUUAGUAUGCGGUAACCCGAAAGUUGUUCGGAGUCCCGGAUGAGAUCCCGGACGUCACAAGGAGUUCCGGAAUGGUCCGGAGGUAAAGAAUUAUAUAUAUGAAGUGCUAUUUCGGCCAUCGGGACAAGUUUCGGGGUCACCGGUAUUGUACCGGGACCACCGGAAGGGUCCCGGGGGUCCACCGGGUGGGGCCACCUGCCCCGGGGGGCCACAUGGGCUGUAGGGGGUGCGCCUUGGCCUAUAUGGGCCAAGGGCACCAGCCCCAAGAGGCCCAUGCGCCAAGAGAAGAGGAAAAGGAAGAGUCCUAAAGGGGGAAGGCACCUCCGAGGUGCCUUGGGGAGGAGGGACUCCUCCCUGGCCGCACCCUUCCUUGGAGGAAGGGCCAAGGCUNNNNNNNNNNNNNNNNNNNNNNNNNNNNNNNNNNNNNNNNNNNNNNNNNNNNNNNNNNNNNNNNNNNNNNNNNNNNNNNNNNNNNNNNNNNNNNNNNNNNNNNNNNNNNNNNNNNNNNNNNNNNNNNNNNNNNNNNNNNNNNNNNNNNNNNNNNNNNNNNNNNNNNNNNNNNNNNNNNNNNNNNNNNNNNNNNNNNNNNNNNNNNNNNNNNNNNNNNNNNNNNNNNNNNNNNNNNNNNNNNNNNNNNNNNNNNNNNNNNNNNNNNNNNNNNNNNNNNNNNNNNNNNNNNNNNNNNNNNNNNNNNNNNNNNNNNNNNNNNNNNNNNNNNNNNNNNNNNNNNNNNNNNNNNNNNNNNNNNNNNNNNNNNNNNNNNNNNNNNNNNNNNNNNNNNNNNNNNNNNNNNNNNNNNNNNNNNNNNNNNNNNNNNNNNNNNNNNNNNNNNNNNNNNNNNNNNNNNNNNNNNNNNNNNNNNNNNNNNNNNNNNNNNNNNNNNNNNNNNNNNNNNNNNNNNNNNNNNNNNNNNNNNNNNNNNNNNNNNNNNNNNNNNNNNNNNNCCCCUUGCUGGAUCAAGAAGGAGGAGACGUCGCUGCUCCGUACGUGUGUUGAACGCGGAGGUGCCGUCCGUUCGGCGCUAGGAUCAUCGGUGAUUUGGAUCACGACGAGUACGACUCCAUCAACCCCGUUCUCUUGAACGCUUCCGCGUGCGAUCUACAAGGGUAUGUAGAUCCACUCCUCCCUCGUUGCUAGAUGACUCCAUAGAUAGAUCUUGGUGACACGUAGGAAAAUUUUGAAUUUAUGCUACGUUCCCCAACAAAACAGUGCUAUCAUACCUAACUCUGCAGGCUGAUAGAGCACAUUAAAUGCGCCGCUCAAUGUCACAUCACGGCACGCCCGGCAGGCCCAAGCGGGAUGUUUGCCAGCUUCGCGCCUGCUUGCUUGACACAUCUCAGGACGGGUGUUGCCUGGAGGUAUUUCUGUAGGAACUGGCUGCCAUGUGGCAAACAACAACCACUUAGUCACUUUGCGGCUUGACACCACACGGAUCGAUGACUUGUGUCACUCGUGAGGUGGAGCGGUGGAGUGGUUAGCCUCCGUGAACCCCGGCAGGCCCGCCGAGACGAUCCAAAAUCUUACUUCUGGGGCAAACCCAACCUCGCCAGGCUCACCUGUCUGGCAAGGGAGGUCCUUCUCGUAGUUGCAUUCUUGUCUCUCUGGCUAGUUUUGGUCUUCUCGAUCUUCACCUUGAUCCUCAAAGAACAGAGCUCUCGUGCUCUGAUCUGAUCUUGGUGUUGAAGUCUUGUUCUCGCGCCUGUGCAUAGUUUGGGCAACGAACCCAGGGUUUGUUGCACCGACAACAUUCAAUUACUUUUCUUGUUUAUCAGCCAUUUGAAUUAGAGAGGGUGAUGGCAGUAUCUAAGGGAGUAACAACAUGGUCUUCAGAAAAGAUGGUGCUAGCAGUCGAUGUAGAUAGAACCACAGUUGUACUUGCCCAAGAACCAGCCCUACCACACAUAACCCAGACUCUCACAGAUUGUACCCCUACCCAGUUGGAUAGAGAACCAGCUACACCCCUUCUAACCCCAACCCUAGUAGAUAGUAACCCAGUUCCAGUUGACACAACACUGUCUCCACUACAAAGCACCCAAACAUGAGCAAUUAGUAAGGGAACUGCAGUGCCCAAAGCACGAGGAUGACCACUCUGAACCCCAACUCAACGCUUAAAGCAGAAGAAGAAUUGUUCUCACAUGAGGUUCUAUAGCUAUGGUUCAUACUCCUUUUCUCUUGCAUCAUUGUAUUUACUAUACCAACUAUUUUCAAUUUUGAAGGAUGGAAUUGAAACUCCAAUGGCACAACAGGUAUGUUUUAAACCUAUUUCUUUAAAUGGUUUGCUGUUGUAACUUGCUCUAUGUUGAUUUCAAUUUCAAUUGAAUAAACAGUUAUGUUCUCAUGCCAUGCACAUUACAAGUGUUGUUAUUGCUCUGUAGUUUCUCACACUUAUAUUCUAUCCAUUCUGCUUUGUCUUAAAUAGAUAUUAUUUGAAUUGUGUCUCUAUCUUGAUUUGGCAACAAAAACUAGAAUGAUAUAGACCAUACAGUGACCAUGGUACAUAGAUAUAUUUUUGUUUCAUGUUGUUAUCCUGUCCACUUUACUACUGAACUGAUUUACCAAAAUGAGUUUCAUAUACAACAUGGUAAACCUGUGAUGUGUCUGCUUGUUUCUCUUUUAGAAUGCAGACAAAAUAUUGGAGAAGAGUACCCCGUUAUGCAGUGGUAAAGGAAGUAAUGCAGAUAAGGUUCAAGAUAGUGAGAUAUCCUUGUUGGUUUCCAUGAAAGCUGAUAAAAACUAUCUUGACGACAAUAAGACAACCCAAAUAUCAUGUCCUGAUGUAGUGUUCAACUUACUAGCCACUACUGCUGGCACAAGCUCUUCAAACUCACUGCCUGAAUCAGUUCGUCUUCUUGAGUUUCAACUUCAAGUUGAACGACAUCGAUCAGAUGUGCCGCGACACGAAGCCGAAUGAUUGGGGAAGUCCCUACAGAAUUCAGAUGCAUACUUUCUGGUGCAACAGCAAGCGCUGGAGGAUUUAAGUGCCAAACAAGAGAAAGUUAAUAAGCUUGCUAAGCAUCUUGCCAGCAUUAUUGGUACCCAUGAUAUUGUUUCUUGAGCUCUUCUGAAGUGGUUCAGUUCUGGACUUGUUUUUCUGCGGAGUUUAUUUGCACUGGUCUCCAACUUUGACAACCAGUGUAUGUGAUAUGCUGCUUUGUUUCCUAUAUUUGCACAGGUGGCGAACUUUGAUGCCCUGUGGAUGUAAUAUGUGUAAUAGUCGUGAUAGCCUAGCGUAAGUUUCUUGCUUAUUUAUUUCCUUGUUAUCUUAUUUAUUUGUUUGCUUGUAGUCAGUGCAGUUCUUUUUCUGCGGUUUACUAGUGGCCGCAAUAACCUAUUUUUUAAAACUAGGUCACAAUAACCAUGGGCUACAUAUUUACUGUAGUGACCAUGGGCCUCCUACGGGCCGUAGAAAUAAUGGGCCUUCUACGGACCAUAGAAACAAUGGGCCUUCUAUGGGUCGUAGAAACAAUGGGCCUUCUACGGGUCGUAGCAUCAAUGGGCCUUCUACAGGCUGUAUGAUUGAUUGGCCAAACACGGGUCAAUAACGGACCACAUUAUGGGUCGUAAACGGGCUAGAGUUGGAAUUGUCCAUUCAUUGGCCGACCAUAACAGGCUGUGGUUAAUCGAUCGUAUUUGAUGACGCUAUGAAAAUGGCCCAACGGAUUAACGGGCCAAAAACGGGUCGACUGUAACCACGGGCUGAAUUUGGCCCAUAAGCAGAAAAUGCCAAUAAUGGGCCGUAAGUAAUCGAAUGCUAGAAAUGAGCCCAAGAAUAAAUGGGCCCUGAGAAGGCCGAAAGAUAACACGGGCUGGAAACGGCCCAAUGGAAUAAUGGGCCGUUAAUGGGUAUAAAGCGAUACACUAUUCAUUAUGGGCCAAUUUCACCACAGGCCGUUAAUGGGCCAAGAGUUAAGAAGGGCCUCUUAUGGGCCGAAAGAUGUCAUGGGCCAUACAUGGGCCGGAAGUUACAAUGGGCUGGAAUCAUAUUGGACAGCCCAGGUGACGCUAAUGGGCCUAAUUCGGAUAGGCCGUAACGGGUCAUGAGUUAGCGGGCCGUAAAUGGGCUACAUACGAACAUGCCGUUAACAGGCUUUCUGUGGGCCGACCCGCUACCUUUUGACCAAGUCAAACGGGCCGACCUUUUCACCAGAAUGGGCCUCUGUUGGGCUAUGCGACAUGUCGACGUAUCAUAGGCGCCUCCGAUCCAAUGAGUGGAUGACAUCUGUCCCAACGGUGAGCCGACACGUGGUUCCUCUAGCCAAUGAGAAUUUUACACAUGGAAAAUCCCCAUUGGUCUGAGCUGUUAACAGGUUAUCGGAUCCAAAAUCAGACCCAAUAGCUUAAUGGCGACCCGUUACGGUGGAUGCCACGUGUCGGUUACCCUUGACGAAAGCACUUCCAUGACGCGCCAUUUAUCGUCAUGGAAGUGGACACUUCCGUGAUGAUAAUUUUGGUAAUGUCAUGGAACACUUCUAUGACAGCACAGGUAUGACUAUCUUGAUUCUGUCGUUAAAUCAUCAUGGAUGUACAUGCAUGACAUAAAACGUGACCUACUGUGACAAAGACGUAUCAUCACGGAAGUGUAUUUUUUUGUAGUGUAAUGUCCAUGUAUACCAUGUUCCAUGGUAUAUUAUAUAUGUUGUCCAGUCUUGCAUAAUUAUGCUAGUAUGCCCUGUAAAUCAUGCUUCUAAUUUAUUAGCUUGGUUUGUGUUGCUUCCUUUCCAGGGGAAGCUUCCAACGAGCAUGUGAACACAAUACUAUCUCUGGGGAUAAACUCUAGUGAUGCUCAAACGGAAGUGUCCAACAUCAGCUUGGUAAGAAACUAAGAACUGUACACUGGACUUCAGCAGUAUCAUGUUGCAAUAGUUUUAUCAGCUCAUCACUACUACCCAUGGCAACGCAAGCAAUCCAUGCACCUGCUAAUAAGGAGGUCUCAACGGAACCAAAGUUUAGCUGUCCAUUCCGCUUCGAUGAGCUAGUCGAUGCAUCAUCGACUAUCUGCAGCCACAUCUUCUGCCACAAGUGCAUCAAGUUCUCCAUCCAGGCUCAAAACAGGUUCCCUACCUGCCGGAUGACAUUAAUAGUUCAGAUAGGUUUAUGGUUACCAUUGAACUAUUGGCAUUUUAUUCAUAGGGUUAUGAUUACCAUUCAACUAUUGGUAUUCAGGAGGUGUGUUACUGAUCUGCAUCCCUUGCUUGUAAUAAACCGCAGUCUCUUCCUGUGGGAAAUCCAAACAUGUGCUUGUGACCAUGAAAACAUAGUCUCGGAAUGUACCAACUGAAGCAAUCGGGGCAGGAGGGUGCAGAACCACUCGGUGCUUCAGCAUCUAGAUCUUCCCUUAGAGAUCGACAUCUGUCGACCAGGUUCUGAGCGAGAACGGAUCUUGCAUUAAAUGACGGGUCUCAGGCGUCCUUCGAGUGAUGAGGAGGACUCGGCCUUCGGUCGCCGCCAUGCAUCUAUCGGUCGUCGUAAGGCCGGCGCCCGUACGCGUCGUCACGCGGCGGGGGCAUCAGAGUGCGGUCAUGGUCGCCGUGCCGCCGGGGCGACGCUAAUCUGUCGUGCCUUUGGUCUUCGUAAUGAUCUCUCAAGGAGGAUAAUGCUCGAUGCUUCCAUGAGUCGAGUGGGCUGUGGGCCGAUUGAACGGUCUCUCCCCACACCGACGCAUUAUGGAUGCGAUCCCUUGAUUGGGACACCGCCGCAUUUUGCGACAACGCCAUCUUCAGGAGCACUUGGAUUUGGUGGAUCCCUUUCCCAGCGGUGGAGCUAGAGGGCUGUAUGGAGUCAGCGAUCCGAGUAGCCGCAGCUAGAUUUUGCAGCGGAGUACUGAGGACCUGAUACUUCCAAGGCUGAUCUCUCGGGAAAAUCCGGCGCUUGUGCCGACUAGAGCUGGGCUAAUGGCGAGUGCGGUCAUCCAGAUCAUUCUGAAGCCCCUCGAGGCGGUCACGUUCGGCCAAAAGUGGCCAAGCGCAUCGACUCCAUGGCCAGGGCUCCAGGAGUCGUCCUCGUGACAGGGGUGUUCAAGAAUUGUUCGUUCCUGCGACGAAGCUCCUCACGUUGCUCCCGAGUGAGAGCUUAAGGGACGUACGACUCGUGAGCACGGACGCAAUUGUCAUUGCCGCCGCCAUUGUUUUUCCCGUGUGAAGUGUCACGUGUCCAUCCCGGGGCUCCGUGUAUCCCGGGGGCGGAUGACGCUCGGAGUUGUUUGCCAUGAAAACUUCAGCAGUUGAUUUGACGCUCCCGCACUCGGACUCAUCGAAAGAGCCGUCGACUAGCCCAUCACAGAGGUCGAGGGCGGGCUCAUUGGACUUCAGAGGCGCCACGUGCUUUUCCGUGGCCUGAAGGGCCAGGGCGUGCCUGAUCCAGCGUUGUAGCUGAGAGCAUCUGGAACGCUUGCGGCGGCGUGCGGCAGGAAGGCGAGCGGCCACUCGGGACGGAGCCGAGGGCUACUGGAGGAGGACUCCAUACGAGGAUGCAUGGAAGUGCGCUGCGCCGUGGACAGGCGGCGCUUCCACGUCUAGCGGGGUCUCGCAAAGCCACGCUGAGUCGUCGGCGAUGAAGCUGAGUGUCCCGAAAUGGAUUACGCCGCCGACCAACAUGAUGAUGAUCCACCUACGUCGUGAAACUUUGCUAGAUGCCUAGCCCCAUGGUGGGUGCCAACUGUUAGGGUUACGAUCCUAACAAUGAGUACCAGGGGUACGAAAGAGGGGCAGAGCCUAUCUACGGCGCAGGCGUAACACUCGAUGUUUAACGAGUUCAGGCCCCUCUCGGUGGAGGUAAUAGUCGUACAUCGCGUGCUCUGAGGCAUGCUUUCCUUGAGGGUUGUGAUUACAGAGAUUUCUUAACCCCAGCUCAGGAGGAGGAGUGUGGCUUAUAUAGAGUGCGUUGCAGCUCCAACGUCCCCACGUCGCUAGGGCACUUAAUGCUCAUUACUAUGGAAGUUAUAGGUAUAAAGCACCACAACUACAGCAGUUACGGGUAACGUUAGCCAUGACUCCACUUUAAGGGUGACUUAGGAUUCCUCGACCAUUGCAGCUCCCACGUCAUCCCUCCAUCUCCCUUGUCCGAGUGGUAGUUGUCAUGCCGACUAAAGAGUGGUCGCCAAGUGAACUCGAGGUUGUUGGGAAACGUUGCAAGGAAAACAAAAGAAAAUCUACGCACAUGCAAGAUCUAUCCAUGGAGAUGCAUAGCUAUGAGAGGGGGAGAGCAUCUACAUACCCUUGUAGAUCACUAAGCGGAAGCAUUUAUCAAGCGGUUGAUGUAGUCGCACAACUUCACGAUCUUUUACGAUCAAGAAUCAAAUGUACGGCACCUCCGCGUUCAGCACACGUUCAACUCGAUGACGCCCUCGCCUUCUUGAUCCAGCAAGAGGAGCGAAGUAGUAGAUGAGUUCUGGCAGCACGACGGCGUGGUGACGGUGAUGGUGAAACUAUUUCCGCAGGGCAUCGCCAAACACAACAGAUUUAAAGUGGAGGAUGAACUAGAGGGAGAGGGGGUGUCGGCACACGGCUCGGUGAAUCAUGGUGUGUGCUGCCCCCUACCGGUCCUCCUCGCAUAUAUAUAGGUGGAGGGGGGGAAGCAGCCUAGGGAGCACCCCAAGGGGUGCCGGCGGCUGCCCUAGGGCGCCUGCCAAGGCACGCCCCCCUUUUCCAUACUUGGCACAUGGGGGGAGGAAAGGGGGGCCGGCGGCCCAUAGGGAGCCUCCCCUUCCCUCUUCCUUGCGUGGAGAAAGGCAGGAGGGGGACGGCCCCUCCUCCUUCCUUCCUAGGGAUGACGGCCAGGAGGUGGGGCGUGCCAGCCCCCUUGUGGGAUGGUGUGCUCUCCUCCUUUUGGCCGUUAGGCCCAACAACUCCCCGCGGCCUUCCGGAACCCCUUUCGAUGGUCCGAUAAUUAUCGGUGUAUUCCGGAACCCUUCCGAAGACCGAAUAUUAUCAUCUCAUAUAUCAAUCUUUACCUCCGGACCAUUUUAGAGCUCCUCGUCGUGUCCUUGAUCUCAUCCGUGACUCCGAACAACAUUCGGUCACCAACACACAUAACUCAUAUAGUACUACAUCGUCAACGAACGUUAAGCGUGCGGAUCCUACGGGUUCGAGAACGAUGUAGAGUUGACCGAGACGCUUCUCCAGUCAAUAACCAAUAACGGGACCUGGAUGCCCAUAUUGGUUCCUACAUAUUCUACGAAGAUCUUUAUCGGUCGAACCUUUAUGACAACAUACGUAGUUCCCUUUGUCUGUCGGUAUGUUACUUGCCCGAAAUUCGAUCAUCAGUAUCUCCAUACCUAGUUCAAUCUCGUUACCGGCAAGUCUCUUUACUCGUUCUGUAAUACAUCAUCUUGUAACUAACUCCUUAGUCACUUUGCUUGCAAACUUCUUGUGAUGUUGUAUUAUUGAGAGGGCUCAGAGAUACCUUUCCAUCAUACGGAAUGACAAAUCCCAAUCUUGAUCCAUGCCAACUCAAUAGACACCUUCGGAGAUACCUGUAGAGCACCUUUAUGAUCACCUAGUUACAAAGUGACACUUGAUACACACAAGGAAUUCCUCGAGAGUACGGGAGUUUCAUGAUCUCAUGGUCGAAGGAACAUGUAUUUGACAUUAAGAAAGAGUAGCAAUAAACUGAACGAUCAUAUGCUAUGCUAACGGAUGGGUCUUGUCCAUCACAUCAUUCUCCUAAUAACGUGCUCCCGUUAUCAAACGAUAACCCAUGUCUAUGGUCAGGAAACCUUAACCAUCUUUUGAUCAACGAGCUAGUCUAGUAGAGGCUUACUAGGGACUUGGUAUUUGUUUACGUAUUCACACAUGUAUUUAAGUUUCUGAUCAAUACAAUUAUAGCACGAAUAAUAAACCUUUAUCAUGAUUAAGGAAAUAUAAUAAUAAUAACUUUAUUAUUGCCUCUAAGGCAUAUUUCCAACAGAGGUGUCCGAGUGAGCUUCCUGGUGCUCGCGUAUGGACGCGAGUGUGGUCUUGAGACCAACCCACGAUGGUGUGGGGCCCUAGGUGGACCCCGUAUGACAGGUCCUUGACCCUACCUAUAGUAGGUGACCGCAUCAGUGGUGGAAUAGACAAGGUUGUUUCUCGUGGACCCUUUAUGGGUGGAGUCCUCUGUGGACUCUCGCAGCCAUUACCCUCCAUGGGUUGAAGUCUCCAUCGACGUGGAUGUACGGUAGUGCGACCUAUCGAAACCACACUAAAAAUUGUCGUGUAUUCAUUGCGUUUGAUCUUCCUAUCUCUACCUCCCUUUACAUUCUUGCACUUGCAUGUUGUUCUUUAUCCGUUGCAUAUACUCUAGAUGUGCAUGUGAAGAUUCUAUUAGUUGCCAUUUAACUUGUGCUAACAUAUUCUUAAAUUACAAGAAAAAUUAAAAGUUGCACCUUUGCCUUGUUAAGUGUCUAUUCAUCCCCCUCUAGACCUAUCUUCUCGAUCUUUCAGCUUCUCCUGAAGGAAGACAAGUGUCACGUGUCCCAUGCUACCACCUAUGAAAAUGAGGUCACCCACUAAAAAAUAAAGAAAAUGGGAAAGUUUGUGGGACAUGAGGGUGUGUGUGUGUGCGCGCGCGUGUGUUAUUGGGUCCACCUAUCGCCGCAUGGUGACCAAAGGCAACGAGGUGGUGAUGUUCGUCAAGGUCCAAUGUCAACCCUAUCCGUCGAUGUCGUGACGUGAGAAGAUCACGACGUACUCGAGCGCCGCUUUGCGAUGAGUCUCAUGCCUCCCUAACCAAAGACGACGACAAGGAGCUAUCUGGAUAGCAAAUAAACAAAAGAGGAAGUUGGGUUGGUAUGAGCUGGCUCUGCGGCAAGCGCGUGUGUGGGGUGAGUGGGCCCACUUGUUGGUGUUUUUAUUUGCUUGUAAUCAAAAGGCAAGGGAUGCUGAAUGAAAGUGUUUGUGAACACCUCGCGCUCUUCCCUGUGUUCUCAUCCUGUUCUGCGUCUCUUCUCGCCCCGAAUUCUGCAAUUCCUGAUCCAAAUCAACGCCCUUCGCCACACGACCUGGCCCCAAGUUUUGAUUGCGGCUGGCGGCAGAGGUGAGCGAGAUCAGGCGGCGCGGAUGAAUCUGUUUGGCGGCAGUGGCAUUGGGAGCGGCGACAUGCCACCGCCGCAGCAUCAGCAGUUGGAGGAGGUGAUGGGCCACGGCGAUCCCAUGCUAGUGGCGAUGCGCAACAAUUACCGCCAGAGGAUGUAAGCGCUUUACUAUUUGUAUAUAUCUCCGUAGAAAAUUAUGUAGGAUGUGGUGGUGUUCGCUAGUUAUUCGGUCAUGGGUUUCAAGUGUAUAUAUGCUCUGAAUAGUAGAAUCAACUUUCACACGGCACCGAGGUUGAUAACCUUCCCUUAUUUUGCAAGGUCAUGUUUGACAUAAUUUUCGAAACGCGCGGGGUGGGAGAACUUGAAAACUUUCUUCAUUUGAUCAUAUAUAUAUUUCCUUGUUCUUGAGUUUCCAGAUUGGAGCAUGCAGAAAGGGUGGUAACUGCGAGAUUACAUAAAGGAUUGAGGGUACCUGCUGACUGGCAGCGGGGGCUGCCGGAGCUUGCUAGGCGGGUCGAGAAAGUCUUGUUUGAGAAACACCCAAACAAGGUGUGCCAUCUCUUGACUAGGAAGGUAAAUCGCUGUCUCAUCGUUUUUCCUGAUGAUGAAAUCUCCUGUUGUUUCGGCAGAGGGAGUACUACAACAUGACGAAUGAACCAAUUCAUCCACAUUUCGAGUUUGCUGUCACGACCUCGCUUGCUCAGACUGAGAGGCAGAGAGCAUCUUCCACUGCCUAUGCUCGUGUCACCCAAGGUGCUUACUACAAAUCGUUCAAAUUUUUUUGUGAGUUGUGACAAACAACAUCCGGUGCAGUCCUGGUUCUCCAUCCAGAGUGCCGGCACCCGUACCUCGCUGCAAUUUGCAUAUAAUGUUUCACUGAGCUUCUGCUCAUAUAUCCUUCUGGAUGUGUGCCUUAACUUGAUAUAAUUCUGUAGCCAUCGUGUAGUCUGUAGGUACGGGUGCAAGCGGAAGCCAGCUUCGUCCCUUGAAACUAUCAAUUAGCUUCAAAUUUGCUCAUCACCUGCCUAAAAUUAACACUAAAUUUGUACUAUGCUAUUGUCCGCUAGCCUGCCCUGUUUGCAUCCCUACCUGUUCUAGCCUGCAAAUCCAAUUGCUAGCAAUAUGUUUGACAAAUUUCUACUACUUAUGUGCUGAAAAGAACACAUGCUUGUAUGCUUGAGAAAAGCCAUGCACUGAAUUGCUGUUAAUACGAUGAUGAAAGUGCUCUAAGUAAAAUUUGAAGAUUAAAGAUCCAUUACCAGAAAUUAGCAUUACUUAUCUUCCUUCAGACUCUUAAUUUACCUUUUGUUUAGUACUCCCUCCGUCCCAAAAUAAGUGUCUUAACUUUAUGUUAAUUUUAGUACAAAGUUGUACUAAGGUUGAGACACUUAUUUUGGGACGGAGGGAGUAUGAUGUUAUAUAUGCUAUUCAGUCUUGCAGAAUUAUGCUAGUGUGCCCUGUAAAUCAAGUUUCUCAUUUAUUAGCUUAGUUUGUGUUGCUUUCUUUCCAGGGGAUACCACCAACGAGCUUGUGAGCACAGUACUAUCUCUGGGGAUGAACUCUAGUGAUGACCACUCGCAAGUGUCGAACAGCAUCUUGGUAAGAACUGCACACUGGACUUCACCGGCAUCGUGUUACGCUAGUUUUAUCAGCUCAUCACUGCUACCCAUGGCAACGCAGGCAAACCGUGCACCUGCUAAUAAGGAGGUCUCAAAGGAACCAAAGUUCACCUGUCCAUUCUGCUUUGACGAGCUGGUCGAUGCGACGAUGCGUCAUCGACUAUCUGCGGCCACAUCUUCUGCGACAAGUGCAUCAAGUUCUCCGUCCAGGCUCAGAACAGGUGCCCUACCUGCUGGAGGGGCCUCACCAUGAAAAGCUUCCACCCCGUCUACCUCCCUGCCACGAUGGACUAAACUGAUCCAGCCCUUCUCGUCACUGGCAUUUUGUGAUCCUAUCUGAAAUAUACUUCACCGGGUUAUUGUUACCAUUGAAUUUCUGGUACUCGGAAGGCGUGUUACUGAGCCCUUCUUGUCUGCAUCCGUCGCUUUUAAAUAAACCGCAGUCUCUUCCUGUGGGAAAUCGAAACAUGUGCUUUGUACCGUGAAAACAUAUUUUCUUAUCAUUAAAGGUAUAUUUGGUUGUUUGCGCGCUCUAAAGUAUGGCAUGCCACAUAUUUGAAGAUUUGGUCUUGCGUUGUCGCCCUUUUUUUUCGAAUCUCACAAGUCACAAAAACCUUAUUGAUUGGCAAUAGUUCUGGAGGUACAAACGCUGAGUGAGUGGCGGAGGGCCAAGCCAUACAUGGAGGCCGGGGGUGCCACAGAUAGUAGAACUUGCAUAAGGCCACCUCGGAGAACUCACUUAGCAUAAGCCAUACCUGGAGCUUCCUUGUUGCACUCACUUAGCAUAAGGAUAACGAGGAUAACUCCGAGGCUCACGCCUUAUCUUAUCAUAUGAUUUGUCCAUACCGACAGAACCAUGAUCCCUUGUCACCAGCUGCCUCCCUUCUAAGUCGAGAACUCCUUCUGGAGGUAAAAUGUGGCUUGCACACAAAAUUGAGGUGAUCAUGAAUUUUAGAGAGAGAAAAAUAGGUAUAGUACUGUAGUGGAACUGGAAUCAGUUAGGUAUCUUCGAUGGACUGGCGAUGAGAGACAGAUCUGGCUGUCGGUGAGCAUGUUGCUGACAUUGGAUGCUAAAACAUCCAAAAAUCCCGCCAUUUGUUCCAGGGUUCCUUCUCCCCUGACCUGGUUCUGGAAACACCGAAGCAAGCAUGCAAAUAAAAAUUAGUCGUGGGUUACCACCUUUUACACAUGAACAAAUCACAUGCUAAAAACAAGGAUAAUGAAGAUCACUUACUAGAGACUAGCAAAAAUUCUAAACGAACCAUGUGGCUUGCAAACAGGAAAAAUUGCCUUGAAAUAAAACUGAGGAGGAGAUCAUCAUCUCUUUCAGAGGAAAAAAAAAUAGAUAGAGCAAGUGUGGUGGAGCUGAAAUCAAUUAAGUUACCUUGAAAAUCAACCGCAGAGAUGAGAGACGGGUCUUGGUUGGCCCUUGUUCUAGAGUAAAACUAGAUAGAUUGCUCUUGUUCUCUGGGAAGUAGUGGCAGGGUUCAGUCGCACUUGAGCUGGUACUGAAAACAAGAAUACAAACAAAAUUAGUCAUCUUUAUUACUAGUUUAAACAAUUCCUUCAGAUGAACAAUCCCAUGCUAAAAAGAAGGAUGAUGAGAUUCAGUAACUGGAGACCAGCAGCAAUUCCUUCUAAAGGAAAAAUGUGGCUUGCAACAAGAAGACUGCACACAAAAUUGAGGACAUCAUCAAUUUCAGAGAGAGAAAAGUCAAGGUGGUGUGAUGAACUACCUUGAAUGGGGCCGAGAGAUGAGAGAUGGAUUCUUGUUGGCCCUUUGCUACAGAGCAAAAGCUAUCUAGAUCUUCCCUGCUCUUAGAGAAGUGGUCAUGAGCAGCGAGUGGCACUUGCUCUAGUGGAAAAAGCUAGGUAGAUAUCCGUUGCUAUGUGAGAAGUAGUAGUGGUGAGGGAAUUUUCUUUCAGAUAACAGCCAGUAAGUCAGAUUUCCCUGUGCUAAAACAAAAAGCUCUUGUGAGUCAGAUCGUUUGCUUUGUUAUCUGAAACCUGAAACUAAACUGGAGACAGUGACACAUGAAAAUGCCAGAUAAAUCAAGUGCAACACCAUCUAAACUUCAUGUGAUUGUGUUGACAAAACAACACAGACACAUCGUAUUGUCAUAACAACAUAACAUGACAUGGUCCAAGGAUCGGACUAAAUUGAAUUAGUCAUCUGAUCUCUCUCUACUCUGCUUGCUCACUCUCUACUCUGUGUAUUAGAAUAGCAAAAGCAAAGAAGUAGAACCACCCUUCUGUUGGCAAUACAAAUUGAAAUUACUAGCUAAAUGUUAAUCUUAAUACGCAAGAACCGCCAAGCCUUUCUAUGCUAAAUGAAUUAUUAGCUGAACUUUGAGGUUAAAUAAUACUGCAGCUUCACGGAACUUCACUACUCUUGGUUCAUUAUCCAAGAAAUGCCAACAGCCUUACUGUGGAUUGCUGAAUACAUUGUGAAUUCUGGCUAUAAAUACAAGAGCACCACUUGACUGCUAAGGUAGGAUGAACGAUUCAACCUCGUCCUCGUAAUUAAUGAGACAUUCCUAUCCUUUUCGUCCUUUGACCAAUUAAAAUCGAAAUUCCUAUGAGAAAUAAAAACCAUAAUUCACCGCGUGUACGUGUAGAUAACAAUGUUCAGUACAGAAAAGGCUAGGUACAGUAGAACAGCAAUAGAGGGCCGGGACAUACAUAUCCAUGCACCUUGUCUCCACUAGAUAAUAGUCCUUCCUCUCACCGAGUAAAUAACUACUCCUCUUCAUAAUCAAUCGUCCGCUCAGUCCUCUUGAUGUUCAUCCCCCGACUGAUCCUGCCAAACGAAAUCAAACAGCAGGAAAAUAUAUAUUCAGAGUCAGCUAGCUCUAGCAUACAAAUGAAACCAACAAUUCUGACACAAUUAUAUGCAAUGCACAAAUUUACACCAUAUGCAACAGAGAUGAGUCCAUAAUUGCCGAUUCUGAUCUGAUGGAGUAGCAAAAAGAAAUACGCAUGAUGGUGUAGCACAAGUACAAAUACGCAUGAUGGGUGCAGGGAAAAAGAGAGUAAGGAGUAACGGAUGGGGGAGACCUUGAUGGCGACGGCGGUGAGGAAAAGUGCUGGAGCGGCGGGCCUACUGCUCCGAGAAUUUCUCCGGGCCUUCUCCGAGGGUUUCGCGGAAGCGCAGCCGGGGAGGUUGGUGGCUCGCGUCGGCGUCGGCGCCGUCGCGGGAUCCGGCAUCGCCACGACUGGAUAAAGCCGGAAUUGCUCCUCCAGUCGAAAAAAUCCAGCUUUUCCACGAGAGUGCAGAGUCGAACUCUGGUCGCUGGAUGCACUACUGCGACUCAGACCAUUCGAGGGGAAUUUGAGGAUUUGCCACGCCUUAUUUUGCAGUUUGAGGAUUUGCCCCUGUUUUGGCUGUAACCCAAGAUUUGCUACAUCUUUACUGAAAGAUCGAGGAUUUGCCCCUAACACAACUGGCCCACAACAACAUGACCAAAAUGCCCUUGUGUUUACCUACGUGAGAGGAACCCGGUCCAAAUGUUGCCCUCGAUAACUCUCCCAUCUCAUCCUACCUGUACCUGUGUCGGCGUCGGCGAUCUGCGGCGGCUACGACGACAACGACCUCGAUCUCCCUGACGGCGGCAACCUGGUAAGAUCGGCUACUACCCUACGUUCCUUCGACCACCUCCAGCUCCUGAACGUAUGGAGAAAAUCUAAAAAAAAUCAGAGAUUACAUUCACACUUCAUAGUGAACAUACAGACUGAAGACAUACUGAAAAAAAAACAGUGAGUAUUCUUCUGGGAAAGUUUCAUCACCUUUUCUUUUAAUCACAAAGUACAUUCACACUUCUUAGUUCACAACAUCACAAAUUACAUUUGCAUUUUUUAGUGACAUCAGAAGGUACAUUAGCCCUUACUAGUUCACAAGUUAGAACAAAUGCACACUAAAACAAGGCACAACACGAUGCGUCAUCAGCAAGCUCGGGGAGGCACAGCAGGAACUCGGGGGAGACUGCCAAUGCCGGUGUAGCCACGGUGAGGUUGCACGCCGCCGACGUUGCGUGGUAGCCAGCCGACAGGGCGAACAGAGUACGGGAACAACGAGCUCAUGCCCGAUUGAUGAGGAUAACUAAAACAGAUUGGGUUGGGGGUAUUUUGGUCACCGAAUUUGUACUAUAAUGUGCCAAAUGAUCCAAACAAUACAUCAGGGGCAAAUCCUCAAUCUUUCAGCAAAGAUGUGACAAAUUCUAGGUUACAGCCAAAAUAGGGGCAAAUCCUCAAACUGCAAAAUAAGGUGUGGCAAAUCCUCAAAUUCCCCAUUUGGAUACUCCCCUGUUCUCAUCUUAUGUCCUUCAGUACACCGAGUCUGUUCCGUAUUUUUGUCGUCUGCUGUUCUAUUGCUAGCCCGACCCAUAUUGUGUGGGCUUCAUUUACUUUUGGAUGUAUCUAAAAAAAGAAAAAAAAACUUUUAGAUGCUUUUCUGAUCAAGUUCUUGUUGCGUGGAGGUUGUUUUGAACUUCCGGUCUUUUCUAGGGAAGAAUCUUUUGCUUUUGGUUUCAGAUUACGCGCGCCUAUUGAGGACAAUGUUGCUUGCUUUUCUUUUCCUGGUCCAUUAAUUUUAAACUGGUUUCUUGUUUUUUUGCGGGGUCUGAUUUCUUGUUCUUCUUGACAAAUAUUAUAAUCUCAGACAUCUGUGCGCUGGUUGACUAGUUAGCUUGUGGGUGUUUGUGUAAUAUAACUGCACGACAAUGCUCGGGACAAGCGACGUGUUCUUCAAGCAACACCCACAAACAACACCUUUACUUGGGAAUAUCAAGCAAAACCUGUGUGAUAUGUACUGAUGGAACAAGACACUAUCUCUACUUUGUUCUUCUACUUUUUUCUCGAACUACGCGCUACAAGAAAUAUGUAAAAAAUAAUACAAUCUCAAAUGCAAUGCAAGGGUUUCGCUCGCUUGCAUCAUAUGAAAUCAUGGUCCUGGUCGUCACCUUGCCGGGAGCUCUCUCCGUCAAGCAUCCACUUGGUCAUGUUGGCCCUCUGUACAAGCCGGACCAACGCCUCCACCACCUCCGACAUCGAUCGGUGGAUUGAAUUCCGGUUCAUCCUGCAAACACACACAUUUCGAUAGGAUCAGUGAUAGAUAUAUAGAUAGGAGACUUUUACUUGCAUAGCAAAAGUGAUCCAACAAUACAUUAUCAGCUAGCUCUUGCAGUGGGAGAUGAGGUAGCUUGGAGACGCACUUGGUGAAUGGACUUGGCGGGGAGCCGCGAGAGGAGUUCGGUUCCGGAGGAUGGAGGCGGCGGCUAGCUCGGGUGGUGGGAAGAGGAAGGACAUGGAAGCAGCAAGGGAGAGGGAAUGCGAGCGUGCUACCUCGGGAGAUGUGGGGGCCAGACUUGCGAAGGCGCUAAUGAGUAGUGGCGGAUGACCUUCACUUGUUGGGCGGCGGUGGAUGGACAUCUUUUUUUUCAAAGCGGACUCUCCCCCUAAAGAGGGAAAAACAAACGCAUGUCUAUCAACACGAAGCGGCGGCGGCGUAGCAGAAGCGCCUUUCUUAGAUAAAAAAAAGGACAAAAGCAAAUGCUUCCCACAAAAAAAAAAAC